AAGAAGAAAGAAUUGCAUAGCUAUCACCUCUGUUUUGACAAAUAUAGUAGCUUCCCAUGUCUGGGGUAAGACGGUGAAACUCGCAAGGGUUCGUCUUAAGUCAGCUUGUGCUUCGCACAAUGUCCUGUAACCGACUUGUUAGCUUAGUACCCCAAUUACCUUAUACUCCUUUUCUUCAAUUAUUAUUUUAGCACACAGAGAGAGGACCAAUGCUGAGGUCUUGAUGAGCACCGACUACCCUUGAGCAACCACUUCAACACUUCCUUGAAGAGAGAGGAAACACCCCUCCUUCUCUUCGUUUCCAUUUUCCUAUUAUUUUGUUUUUUGUUUUUUUUGGUGAUCUUUGCCUUUUAUUUUUUAAAAUUUUUUGCCUUUUCUUUGAGAUGUCACAUCAGCACCAUGCGUUCUAAAAUUUUUUAGAAAUGUCAUAUCUCCACUUUCAAAAGAAAUGAAAGAAACGUUGAAUAUAGACAGAGAAGGGGCUGGUCUUGUAUCCAAUUCAUGCCACGUCAGCAAGUUGGUAAUGUCCCUAGCCAUGAAUUAUGGAGGAACUUGAUUUCAUUAACAGAGAAAAGCUAAAGGACAUAUUUCUUCUUUUUCCCCCAAGAAUGACAGCACGUGUAUUCGGAGGAAGCUCCUCGAGGCACGGUCCGUCCUUCAGCCACAUGUUAGAUAUAAUAUUGGUAAAUGGUGAUGAACAUCAUAGUUUCUUAUGGAAUGAUCCUUGGCAUCCUCAUGCGGUGUUGUUUGGAUGUUUAUCCUAAAAAAUUAAUUUAUAAUGCUGCACUGGCCCUGAACUCUCUAGUUGCUGGUGUCAUUUAUGGAGAUGAGUGGGUUUGUCCUCCAGCAGGAUCAGAAUUUUUUGUGCAUAUUCAAGCAGCCAUAUGUGGAACGAUCUUUCCCCUGCUCUGCUUUUGAGGGCAGAGCAAUUUUCAAAGGAAAUUCCUUCGGAUGCUUUACUCAGCUGAUGCUUGGAAGCGAGUAAGGAUAAAAUGCAGAAGAUCUAAUCCAAGGCAUAAAUUCAGCUUUGUAGCUGCUUGCUAUCUUGAACAGACUGCAACUUGGACGGGAUAAAAUGGGGGUCCUCCAUUGAUGACAAAUGUGUCUUAUGCUCUUCUUCCCGAGUCUAGGAAACCUUUGUGUUUUGAGGGUGCCUUCUCAAAGGAUGGAGAUUUCUAAUGCGGCUGGUUAAAGUUUGUUGGAAUGUUAAUAAUUGGGAUAGAAUGGGUUCUCUAGAGCUUGUAGAGGGAGGUCUUUGACUAAAAUCGUAUUGAAACUCAUUUGGAAUGGUGCCAUCUACUCUAUUUUGGGGAUAGGAAUGAAGUUUUUCACAAUCAUGCUGCUCCUCCGUCUGCUGAAGCUGUUAAAAUGGCGGUCUUUGGUGUGAGACUUCGCAUCAAGAUGUUGCAAGAAACAAAGAGUCUUUCGAAGGAUGCAGAGAAAGCUUUGUGUAUGUUAUUUCGAAUUGUUUGUUAAGCCUGGGUGUUUUCUGUUGUUCUUUCUCUAGGCUUCAUAUACUAACCUGAAAAAAAGAGCUAACGGAAUUAAUUGCAAGUUAGAGGAUUUCACAGCACAAAAAUGAUAAAGCAAGACCGUAUCUCAUGAGAUACGGUUUUUUUUUUUUUUUUACCGACCAAAAAACAAAAGACCGUAUCUCAAUAUAAGAUUUGCAUUUUACGGGAUUGGUUCUUAUUUUCUUUUUAUGGUUUCGAGUGCCACUCACCACGUGUCAUCUUUCCAUGGAGGUUGGACCUGGCCGCUGGUUCCUUGAUGUUGGUCCGGUCCUGACUGCCAUUGACUCUGUUUUUCCAUUUCAUAAAAAUGCCCGACCAUUGAUCUUUCUCGAGUACCCCCAAAGCCUGACGAAUCCAUAAACUCCUGAAAAUUUAAAUUGGCAACCUCCUGAAAUUCCUGACGCUAAUUUCUUCCGUGGUCCAGAUUGCCAGAGCAGCUUCGGUCCUUCCUUUUCAUCUAUGUUUGCUACUUUGGAAUUUCCAAUUUCGUCGGUUCUUUUCUAUAUCUGCUAUUUACCCACUCUGAGGGAUCUUCAGGUGGUUCUACUUACUGGGCGAUUUUUCUUUCGUUUUUUUUUUUUUUUUGGUUGGAUGCUUACUGGGUGAUUGGGAAAGGGUUUAGUAUGGCUUCUUUUUUACAGAUGCAGAUCUUGUCUGACUUCAUUCUUUUCUAGUUAGCUCGAAGUUGUCUCCUCUCUUGUAGCUCAGAAUAAGAGAUGCCUAGAGAGGUUGAUCCAUUUCGGAGGCAUGUGGAGGUUGUGGCGAACAAGUGGAAGUGUAAGUUUUGUGGCAAGGAUUUUGGUGGAAGUGCUACAGGGAUCAGGGCACACCUCGUGGGGGCUCUGGACUAUGGUAUUAAACUAUGCGAGACAGUUGAUGAGCAUGUGGGAUCCCAAGCUUUGAAAGUGAUUAAAGGUAAAAGUGUGGCGGAUGCAACCAACAGGGGAGGCGCAUCUAUUGAGGUAAUGGGACGAAGAAGUGACGGCAUGGGCCAAAUUGUAGUCCUUGGUAGUGACCAUGCUUCGAGUCCCCAUAGUAUGCAGGACUCGAAUCGAAACGUCCUAGAGCAACCAUCUUGCCAUUGGCAGAAUGGAAGUGUUGCUGGUGCAGCUUCAGUAGAUUGUCAGUAUCAAGAGACCUUGUGUCUCGUUGGCAUGCCAGUGCGUGAUGCAGAAUUGCCCCCGCAAGGGCCGCAACCCAAUGGGUCAAUUCAACGCUUGAAUGAUGAACAUGGAAACGAAAAAACUUCAUCUCUCCAGCAACCUGCAACCGAUCCUUUGGCUUCGAUUUUUCUUGAUCCAAAGUCAACUACCAGAGCUCUUUGAUCAGUGUAUUGAUCUGGAGACGAGGCAUGAACAACGGAAUAGUAGAGGGCCAUCACCAUUGCAAAGUCAUCGAUCCCUUAAUAACAGCGUGACAAAUGAGUUGCAUCAAGUCAACUAGACCUGGUGGUGCUGCGCCUGGUCCCCGUCUCAGUGACACAAGUACAAUUGGCACUCCCCAGCAUCCCAAUCAAAACUAAUUUGGGCUUUGAUGAACAAUGGAGAGGUGAAAAUGCUCCAUGUCCGCAAAAUCUUCAGCAGAGUGGGUGACUUAUCUUCUCGAUAUGCCCUAUCAGCCACAGCAUUCCAUUCCAUCUUGUUAUUCUGAGGAAAUGCCAAUGAAUGACCUGCAGAAUCGAAUGGGUCCAUUGUCAUCACAAAAUGAUCAAUCCCUUGACGUUCAAAUUGUUUGCAAGACUGCAAUUAAAUCCCUAUUGCCGAAGUAGUUCCGCUGUCCAAUGCUACAAGCGUAACCAAUGCCGUUGAGCAUUUUAGUCGACAGCCACUUCUUAUACGUGAUGAAGAAUGUGAAAAUGAGAGUAGUUCCUUUCCCUCACAAGCUUCAAUGGACAUAUCUCCGCCAAGUGCAUCACAGCCUUCCUCUGGCCCUCAUUCUUUUGAGAAACCGGACGUAGAUUCCCAAGUUCCACAGGGCGGAACUAACAAGGCCCAUUGUCAUUACAAGGUAUGCGUUGAAGUGAUCCUUCUCUUCUCUUUUCUACUGUCUCCUAUUUAACAUCUCCCACGUUUUCCUAAUUAUAGGCGUAUCCUUGAAUGUUUCAUAUGUGUACUUUCUCUUAUUUUUUAAUGAUGAAUGUUAUAUGAGAAUAUCAAACGGAUGUAAAUGUUAGUUUCAGUGUAGAUGUUUUGUGGGAUUAAGUCUAGAUUUUGACUCUACUUACGCUUGUGGCUUGUUUUGAAAAUUCAAUGGUUGAUUGAUCAGGAUUGUUAAUGAUGAUUUUAAUCUGCUUUACUUUUGCAACCAGCUUCCAGGCACCCUCCAUGUCAAAGUCUUCUAGAUCAACCUCUUAAUCUUGAGACGAUGAACACAGAGCAUCACCCAAGCGUGUCAUCGUCAUCAUCACAGAGUAACCAGUUCUUGAUUACAUGUUUCCCACAAGCUCCGAUGGACAUAUCUGUGAGUAGUCCAUCAUCACCGCGAGGUACAUGUUAAUUCAUCUAAAUUGAUCCUUAUGUAUCCUGAUGCUACUUAAUUAGGGAGAAGCAUGAGUGCUUACAUUAGGAUCUAACACGUAGAAUUCUUGAUUCACAAUUAUCUAUUAAUAGAGUCAUUCAAACGCUGGCAACUUUGAAAAUAAUGGAGCUUUGAAAAGAAAGGUAGAAUGACUCUACAAUAGAGAAGCUGACAUAAAGAAUGAGUUGGAAUUUGCUGCAUCUCUAUCUCUGAAGAAGCAGAGAAUAGAAGUUGUGAAUUGGUUGACAAACGUGGAAAAGCAGAGGAAAAAUUUCCAAAGUCUUGAACCAGCCAGCGCAGAAAAUUUGCGACCACAAUAACAGGUGGACAUGUUGAUGGAAGAAGCGGGAAGACCUUAUCAUAAAAAGCAAAUUUCCAGAAGGACCGUUUGAGGUGGGAGAUGCCAAAGUCAAUAUAUUAUUAGAACGAAAGUUGCAGGCGGGAAAGGCAUUUGAGACAAAUAAAUACUAAGAAGAUCUUGAGGUGCCUAAUAGAGGAUCGCAUAUCAUGAUUAGGCAUUUACAAUAUGGGAGGUGUCGGGAAAACAACCAUUAUGGUGCACAUACAUAAUAGGCUCCUAGAAAAAGCAAACCAUAUUAAUGUAUUGUGGAUUGCUGUGUCACAAGAUCUCAACGUUUAUAAGUUGCAAGGUGACAUUUAGAAAAAAUUUCAUGCAUGGGUGUUAAUUUGGAUAAUGCUUACUAUUUAUUAAAACAUUGAAAAUAUAUCAUUUCGUAGAUUCUAAGAAGGAAUAAUAAUAAAAAAUUAAAGUAACGUGAGGUGGAGUAAAAACAAUCACAUCUUUAAGGGGUAAUAUCACCGAAAACCCAAAACUGGUACAUAUGCUCUAAAAUUAUUUUUAAACUUAAAUUGAUAUAUUUAUGGUAAAUUUAUCCUUUAAUAAUUUUCAUUAAAUUUUACAAUUAAAUUAUUAAGUUGGAUGACAUGUGGUAAUUGAUGAGUAUAUCAAUUUGGGAUUUUACCUUCAAUUUAUCAUAUGUGUAUGAAUUUGUAGUUUUUUGUAGUAUUAAUCAAAUGUAACGGAAAUCAAUGGAUGAUAAAUUUGUCACAAAUUCACAAGUUUUGAAUUUUUGGUGUAAAAAUUAGUUCGAGAUAAAUUUAUUACAUGUGUAAUAAUUUGGGAUUUUUGUAAUAUUAACCCUAUUUAAUUAGAGUAGAUUAAAAAAGGAUAUGAUAAAAUUAUAAGUGGUUUUUUUAGUUUAUAGAUAUAAAAUUCGGUCACGUCAAUCUAAGUACUAUUGAGGCACGUUAUUAAGGGGUCUAAUCGUCUCAUUCAAAAGGGCAUUUUCGGAAGAUAAAGUGCUGGUCAGGAGAGCUUUAUAAAUAGUGAUGUGGCUUCUUAUAAAACGUUUUUUGUCCUGACUUGGUAUGAAACGUUUUUUGUCCUGACUUGGUAUAAAACGUUUAAAUGUUUUAUACGAAGUCAGGAAAGUUUUGUCAGAAGUGACGCGGCUUCUUUCUUAUAAAAUGGCCCCAAAGGAUGCCCCACUCGACAUCACAGCACGGAGAGACGGAGGAGUAGAGAGAGAGAGAGGUGAAGAGCGACGACGGUGGAUUGCAGCCCGUCGAAAGAAAGGGUCGAGCGACGCCUGAAAUCUCCAUUUCCGAGCACCAGGCAAGAGAUUUUACCUCUAUUUCUCACGAGUUUGCGAUUUUCGUUUUUUUAAAAGUUUAAUAUCCGGACCUAUGUAGGGUUUUGCUUUACCGGCAACGCUUCGGCCGCCAAAAUCCAACCAUAUUUUGAUUACCCACAUCUCCUUGAGUCUAGAGGGAUUUCGCAGAGUUGUAGUUGGAGUCAGAUUCGAGAGAAACGAACUCUCCAAGUCCUCCUCUCUGCGCCGCAGGUGAAGAGUGUGUGCCGCCUGACUUCUUGGCUAAGCCACCUUUCGGGGCGGCGACCUGUCGAAUCUCGUAAUUCUAGAAUUAAUUAUUUUCUUGAGAAGGGAGUCCGCAAUUCCCAAGGUGUCUUUGAGUUAGAUCGGGUGUUUUUCGUCUCAGAAACAGCAAAUUGUUCUUGGGUCUGUUGGAUAGUAAUGUGCAGUUUGGCUUUCCCGCUUUAGUACUUGCGGAUGCUAGUGUUUGCUUUACACAAGAUCGGUGGGUUAUAUAGUUGGGUGCGCUCUCUUUGCCUGCAGGUUGAUAAUCAAGACAACAAGAUGCCGCGACCUGAAGAUAUAGCCUGGAAAUUCGUGCUUAGACUGGAGGGCAAGAGAUGGCGUUGUCCUUACUGCCAUAAAGAAUCCUCUGGAUCAGUCACAAGAGUGAAAAGUCACUUUCUUAAACAAGCAAAAGAAGGGAUUGCCUAUUGCACAAAAGUGCCAGAGCACAUACGAACACUAAUGGAAUUGUUACUCAAUCAUGAGGUGACUUUAGUACUUGUAGUAGCUACAUUAUCUGCUUGAGAAUAGUGCUAUGCGCACUAAGAAGAUGUAUAAAAAAUAGGGAUAAUAUAUGAUGGGGUGCGCUCUAUUUGCUUGCAGGUUCGUAACAAAGAGGAUAUAGCUUGGAAAUUCGUCAAUAGAUUGGAGGACAGCAAAUGGCGAUGUCAUUACUGCAGUGUAGAAUUCUCUGGAGACCUGACAGGACUGAAAGGUCACUUGCUUGGAGUCCCAAAUGAAGGGACUUCCAUUUGCACACAAGUGCUGGACCACGCAAGAGCACUAAUGCUGUUGUUACUCGAUGAGGUGGCUGAAGAAGAGAGCAGAGAGGUGGCUGAAGAACAGAGCAGAGAAGCCCACGGUCAAUCCUCCAUCGAACCAAAUUCCCGUGACAUGCCGAGUCAAGCUGAGGUGGCUGAAGAAGAGAUCAGAGAAGCCAACCGUCAAUUUUCCACGGAACCACAGUCGCCUGACAUGCUGUCUCCAGCUGUUCCUCGCUCAUCACAAAGCUUGGAAGAUAUAGAAAACUUAUUCACAACAACAGAGGGGGCGACCGACUUGGGAAACUUAGACUAUAACCUAGAGCGUCAAUUUUAUGAGACUUUGGCAAUGCCGCCACCGGCACAAAAUAUCCAUGGUAUGUUCAUGUGAAGUUUCCAUCGAUGCAUCUAGGCAUGGAGAAAAUAUAUCUAUUGUAUUUUUCAAUGCAAACGCGUCGGGUUUUUUUAACCAAAGUGGCGACUUUUAAAAAUCUUCUAUAAAAAUGAUCUUCCUACGGGACUUUCCAAAUGUGAAGAAAGUCAAUCACCUAUUCCUUAACAACAGUACGCAUUGAAUGUGUUGCAUGUGCCGAUCGGACCCACGGGAUGCAAUAAACUACAGUACGCAUUUUCUCGUGUUCCAAUCAGCCAUAUCCUAAUUUUGAUAAACAACACACAGGUGAAAGCUUGUCACGUUCAGCGAUGGCUUUAGCAGAAGGAGAAUCGUUUCUUCUUGAUUCGCCAUGUCAGCCACAAUGUUCCAAUCGAUCUCCUUAUCCCGAGGAAAUGCAAAUGAAUGACCACCGAACUCCAGCCGGGGCAUUAUCAUUCCAGUAUGUUCCAUUACCUGCUGUAGGUAAUUCAAAUUGCUUCCAGGACUGCAAUGACUCUCAAUUGCAAACUCCAGUGGACGUAAAUCCCUCAAUUACAUCACAGCGUACAAAUCACAUUACUGGGGCACAAAUCAAUGAUUCGAAAGUUCCAGAGGCGGCAACAAAUACAAUGGGCCCAUCAUCAUCACAAGGUUUGUAUGGAUUAAUCUACAUUGCUACUAUGGUUAUGUUAGAUCCUUGAAUAUCUCCAUAUUAUUUUAUCGAAAUCUAACAUAUGAUUUUUUAAACAAGAUAGGAACAUGGAUUAUCCAAUCAAGAACAUGCUGAGCAUCACUGCAUAUUCUAUAUGUCCGAUAUCACUUUUUAUCACAUUAUUACUUUCUUCAAAAUAUUUAACUCUAAUGCGGUCGUUACUCGAUGAGGUGGCUGAAGAAGAGAGCAGAGAGGUGGCUGAAGGACAGAGCAGAGAAGCCAACCGUCAAUCCUCCACAGAACCACAAUCACGUGACAUGCCCACUCAUGCUGAGGUGGAGGCUGAAGAAGAGAGCAGGGAAGCCAACGGUCAAUUUUCCACGGGGCCUUUAUUCUCACCAGGAUUCCUCCUCGAAGAUAUGGAACAGUUAAACUUCAGCCAACAGGAUGUCAUUUGGUUAAACUCUGCCCAACAAUCACAAACAGAGCGUCAGUUUCAUCAGAGUUCAACAAUGCCGUCACAGGUGCAAAAUAGCCAUGGUAUGUCCAUGUAAAGUUUUUAUACAUUCAUCCAGGCGUGGAGAAAAGAAAAAUCAUUAUAUUUUUCGUAUUAGUAACUCUCUCUAUAAUAACUCAAUUUCAUCCGCUUCCAUAUCGUAUCGAUUCCAAAUUACAGUUGUAUCAUCGCAUAUUCUAUAUGUCCGAUAUCAUUAUCUUUUUACCGCACCGUUUAUUUCAUCAAAAUAUUUACUUAUGAGCAUAUGUUGACUUUCGCUAUAAAUAUAUUUUUUUUAAAUCGAGUUCUAGACGUUCGUUUUACCUGUACCCAUGGCUUGAUUUAAAAGUCCCAUUGUUGAUUUAUUUUACGCUUGCCUUUUUUAGUGCAACCAGUUUUGGUGGCCCCUCAACAUCAAAAUGCUCCACAUCAAUCCGAGACAAGGAAUGUGCUGCAGAAUCCAACUGCACAAUCAUCAACAGCUCUAAGGGAUAUGGAUUUACGUAUCCAAUCUUCAUCGCAAGCUUCAAAUGCUGCUCCACAGUGGCCGACAGACGUUUCAAACUUCAACCAACAGGAUAUUAAUGAGCUAAACUCUGGUCAACAAUCACAAGCAGAGCGUCAAUUUCCUCAGAGUUCAACAAUGCCGUCACUGGCACAAAAUAGCCAUGGUAUGUUCAUGUGAAGUAUCUAUACAUUCAUCUAGGCGGGGAGAAAAACAUCUAUUAUAUUUUUCAACGCAAACACGUGGGAUUUUUUAACGGAAGUGGUGACUUUUAAAUAUCUCCGAUAAACAUGCUUUUUCCACACAACUUUUCAAAUAUGAAGAGAGUCAAUAACCUAUUCCUUAAUAACAGUACAUCCAAUGUGUUGCACGUGGCCACUAGACCCACUGGAUCCAGUAAACUAACUACAAUAAGUAUUCUCUCAUGUUCCAAUCAAUCAUAUCCUAAUUUUGAUGAACAACACACAGGCGAAAGUUCCACGAUGGCUUCAACGGAAGAAGUGCCGAAUUCUCAUAAUUUGCUAUGUCAACCACAUUGUUACAUUCAAUCUCAAAUACAAAUGAAUGACCAGCAUACAAGUGACUCUCACAUUAUUGAGCCAACAACGGUUGAUUCGCAAGUUCCAGAGGCGGCACCAAAUGCAACGGGCCCAUCCUCAUCACAAGGUGCGUUUGGAUUAAUCUUCAUUGUUACUAUAUGGUUCCACUAGAUUCUUAAAAAUCCCCAAAUUAUUUUAUCAAAAUCUAACAGAUGUUUUUUUAUAAAUUAGAUAUGAACAGGGGUUCUCCAGUCAUGGACGUACGGAGCAACUAUGCCAACGAUGAAGAGAUAAGAAACCUGAAAAGAAAAGUGGAAGAACUCGAUGACAAAGACGCUGUCAUAAAGGAGCAGAUGGAGAUAGAGUCUGCUGCUUCCUCACUUCGGAAGAAGCCGAGGAUAUUGGUUGAUAGAUGGCUAAAAGAGACAGAAAGAGCAAGAAAUAAUUUCCAAAUAAUUGGCCAAGCCAAUGCGGAAACUUUGCCACCAAAGGAACAGGUGGAGAAAUUGACGAGAGAAGUGGAAGAACUCAUAGGAAAAACGCUUCCACAACCACUGCUCAUAGAAGAGAGAGAUGCCAAAGGAGUCAAACUUUUGGAACGAAAGUUAACAGGUGAAGGGAUUCAUAGGAACAUUGAGUUGAUUUGGGACCGUCUGAAGGAGAAUCAUGCAUGCAAAUUGGGUAUUUAUGGAAUGGGUGGUGUUGGGAAGACAACUAUUAUGAUGCACAUACAUAAUAGACUUCUCGAAGAUGCAACCUUCGAUGGUGUGGUUUUUAUCACUGUGUCUCAAGAUUUCAGCAUUAAGAAGUUGCAGAGUGAUAUUUGGAAGGCAUUAAAAUGUGGCGUUAUGGAGGAUGAGGAUGAGAAGAAACAAGCAGCGAUAUUGUCGGAGCAUUUAGAAAGAAAGAAGAAUUGUGUAUUGAUUCUUGAUGAUGUGUGGGAACGUCUUGAUCUUGAAGAGGUGGGAAUCCCUGUUAGAGCUGAUGGAUGUAAGUUGAUCUUAACCAGUCGAUCCUAUUAUGUGUGCUGCCAGAUGCAAUGUCAAGAGAAGAUAAAAAUUAAACCUCUAUCUCAAAUAGAAGCCGAGAGUCUAUUUUUGGAGGAGCUUGGAUCCGAAGUUCCACUUAAUUCGGAAACUGAAGCAAUUGUGAAGUCCAUUGUUGAAGAAUGUGCUGGAUUGCCAAUUGGAGUCAUCACGAUGGCAAGAAGCAUGCGAGGAGUGACUGAUGUGUUUGAAUGGAGGGAUUCCUUGGUUAAAUUGGAAGAAUCAAGUAAGGGGCAAACAGAUAUGGAGAAGAAGGUCUUAAUGAAUCUAAAAUUUAGUUAUGAUCGCCUUGGUAAUCCUGAUGUGCAACAAUGCUUCUUAUCUUGUGCACUUUAUCCAGAAGAUGAAUUGAUUGAUAAGUUCGAGUUGGUAGAAUUCUUUAUUGACCAAGGAUUGAUUGGUGGAUUGAAUGCGUGGACAGAACAAUAUGAUAGAGGCCUCACCAUAUUGAACAAACUACGAAAUGUUUGCCUAUUGGAAGAUCAUGGGAGCGAGACGAAGAUGCACGAUUUGAUUAGAGACAUGGCAUUGCACAUCAUGAGUGCAACUUCCAUUGUAAAGGCAAGAAAGUGGUUGGAAAGUAUUCCAUCUGAGGAAUAUUGGACAGAUGCUUUGGAGAAAGUUUCUCUGAUGGGAAGCAAAAUAAGUGAAAUGUCACCAAAUUGUCCUAAACUAUCAACUUUACUACUGAAUGGAAGCUUGUUAGAGGAUGCGGUCCUCCCUGGUUCUUUCUUCAAACAGUUAUGUGGGCUAAAGGUCCUAAACCUGAGUGACUGUGAACUAACGGAACUUCCAAAUUCCAUCUCAGAUUUGGUAAACUUGAGGGCACUAUUGCUUAGAAGGUGUCGGGAAUUGUGCCAUAUUCCUUAUUUAGGCAAGCUCACAUCUUUAAGGAAGCUGGACGUUAGUGACUGUUUUGAGCUUGAAGAAGUGCCCGAGGGUCUGGAAAUGUUGGUGAACUUGAGAUACCUUGACCUAUGUUUUUCAUUGACCGUUGAAUUACCUAAAAUAAUACUGGGGGGUUUGCUAAACUUGCAGCAUCUUAAAGUUUAUUUUCUAGAUGGACAAGACAUGACAAAAUUGAGGGCACUGGAGACACUCAAAUGCUUUUUUGAAGAUGCGAAUGAUUUCAAUAAGUGUGUGAGGGUUAUUGAACAGAGUAACCUUCUCUGCUAUUAUUAUCUUUGUUAUUAUAUCGACAAAAAAUAUCAUGAUGAGGAAGAAUGUGAUAUUACUCAGGACAGGGAAGUCAAAAUUUGGGGGUGGGAUCAUGCUAUUGUGAGUGUGGGAGGGGAAUGCACCGGCAUUUUUAUUUUGAUUCCCCAAGACGUGCAGAAAAUGACGAUUUGUUGGAACGGUAUAACAAAUUUGUCUAGCAUAGGUCCGCUUGAAUACCUUGAGGAGCUAGAUAUAGAAGACUUAAACAACUUAGGGGUGCUCUGUGGAGGAGAAGACAAAGAAGUAAUCGACAUCUUUGCCCCAGCCCUUGCGCCUCUCCUCUUCUCGAGCCUUAGGGUUUUGAAAAUAUGGAGUUGUCCGGAACUGAAGUAUGUCUUUGGGCAUGGGUCUAAAUCCAACCUUCCACAUCUACGAGAGAUUGAAAUAGGGGGAUGUGAGGAGACGGUGGGGAUAAUAGCAGCAGUUACAUCCCCACCACCACAUCCGCUCCCAUUUUUCCCUAGUCUGGAACAGAUUAGCAUUACAGGCUGUUACGAGAUGAAGAGAGCGGUGGAAUCCGAGUGGAUGCCCCACUUCCCUAAUCUAAGAAGAAUCAAAGUAUCCGGAUGUGAGAUGGAGGAGAUAAUCGGAGGUCCUCCCCCAUACUCGCCGGAUGAACAGAUUUCUCUCGAAUCUCUUGAGGUAAGCUAUUGCGAUAAAAUGAGAAAGCUGCUUACGUAUGAGUGGCUGUUCCAUCUUCGAAAUCUUCAAAGUAUCUCUGUCACUUACUGCAAAGAAAUGGUGGAGUUGAUAAGCGGAGCGGGACAAGGCCAAGAAGGAAGCAUAACGACUUCUGUAAACAACACUCCUUCCUCCUUCCAGCCUUCUUCAAUUUCUCUCCCAAAGCUAGAGUGUUUGGAGCUACGCUAUCUACACCAGCUGAAGAGCAUAUGCGAAGUCCCAAUAAGCUGCGAUUUCAUGAAAAGAUUGGACGUGUGCAGAUGCCCAGAACUGAAGAGGAUUCCUUUGCAACUGCGAUUGUGUGAAAUUGAGGAGCUUCCGUAUAUUUUGGUGGAAGAUGAGGAAAAGUGGAAGACGUUGGUGUGGGAUCAUCCCAAUGCUCAGGCUAUUCUUCGACCUUAUCUCCGAAAAGGGCCACGCUGGCCUCCAAAUGCUAUAGGUUAAUGAGUUUAAUUGAUAUACGAUUGCUUCACUUCUUAAAAGUCCUUUCAAAGAUAUAGCUUUUCUGUCUAUAUAGUCAUGCAGCUCUAAUAGUGGCCUUCUGUAGUACUGAACACCAAGUGAAAGCAUCUCCUGCGACUCCACUCUUGAAGAAAGAACCCUGCUGCUCGACCAUGCUUUCCUGCAAACUUGACUCAGGUUGCCAUAUGAAUUGACUUUUUUUGUGUGGCCCUGCUUUGUCUAUUUUGAAUGCGAUCGCAUGUUUCAUUGACUACUGGAAAUGAGUCUAUCUGGUCGAUAUUUCAGGUUAGUCAAAAAGCAAUGGAUCUGAAGAUUUGGGAAGCCAAGGGAAUAACAAAGUCUGUUUCCUAUCUUGUCUUAUAACUGAAAGGACAAUUUAUUAUCAUGGAUUGAAUUUCUUGGGAUAUUAGCCUUCUAAGAAAAGAGAGAAUUUUGUGCAGCACUACCUUUAAUCUGUUUUUGUUUAAAAAGGAUUUCAAAUAUGAUAUUGCUUUAACUUGUCGAUCGAAAAUAUUGUGUCAAAUACGCUGCUUUGCUCUGUUGGAUCAGAGCAACAUGACCCCAAUUAAACUUGUUUCGACGUUAAACUAUCGGGUAUAGAAUACUUGAUCUGCUUAGUAGUUGUAUCAUAUCUGGAAACGUAGGCCGGGAAGUUUUCNNNNNNNNNNNNNNNNNNNNNNNNNNNNNNNNNNNNNNNNNNNNNNNNNNNNNNNNNNNNNNNNNNNNNNNNNNNNNNNNNNNNNNNNNNNNNNNNNNNNUACUUUGAAUUAGAAAUGUAAAAAGACGAAGAAGAAAGAAUUGCACAGCUAUCACCCUCUUUAAAUGCCUCGAAGUUGUGGAUAGAUGGAGAACCCUACAGCUUCAGCUCAAGUAACCAAAAAUCAGAGCAGUAACCACUAGCAAGUCAAUGGAAAAAAGGCCAGCUUAUAGGAUGUGGCACUUUUGAAAGUGUUUACAUUGCAAGCAACCAGUAAGUUAGCUCUGGGAAUCUUAGACAUGUUCCAUUUUUUUAGAUAUCCAGUCAGCUAAACUUUGACAUAUUAAGUGACAGAAAAACCAGAUCUCUAUGUGCAGAGAAGGAGUUUGAGCUAUUGCGUAAUGAUCCAAAUUUAGCUGAGUGCAUCGAGCAGUUAAAGCAGGUAAUGUUUUUGUUAUGCUCUGGGAUCCAAUCUAUCCUCUCAUCCGAUCUAAAUAUGCUGGGAGGAAACUUUCUUUCAUCAUUUCCAAGUAAUUGAUUGCUUUGUUACUACAGGAAAUUCAGGUACUUAGCCAGCAUAGACAUCCGAACAUUCUGCAGUAUUAUGUAAGGGAAAUUGUGAGUCACAUUUCCACAGCAUCUAUGCGUCCCAACUCAAUGGGCGUUCAUUAUUUGACUAACCAAAAUUUCAACAUAUUCAUACAUACUCAGGUUGAGGAUUGGCGUUACAUAUAUCUAGAAUAUGCACAUCACGAUUCAAUAGACAAGUAUAUCCAGGAGCGUCUUGGGACCCUAACAGAAUCGGUUGUCAGCACUUUACCCGCUAUAUUGUGGCUGGAUUGGCUUCCCUGCAUGUUUUUUUUGGUAAAGAGGCUUCCCUGCAUGUUAACAACUCCAUACAUGGGUAAUUUUAAACCAUUGAUCAAGCAUCAUGAGAUGACUUGCAUAUUGGAUUAGGAUGAUUGGACCUUCUUCUUUGUGCCCCCAGACCUGUUAAAACUAUUUGGCUUGUGCAGGGAUUUAAAGGGAGCUAAUUUAUUUGUGGAUGCAUCUGGGAUAUUCAAACUUGCUGACUUUGGGAUUGCUAAACAUGUGAGUUUUUACCUCUUCACCGCAAGACUACUCAGUGCAUGUAGAAAUUCCUUGCUGAUCUGUGGUACAUUCGAAUGUGAAGUCAGGGACCCAGGGUGACUGCAUACUUCUCGUUAUUGGUUUGUGGCAUUUCAUAUGUGCAUAAAUCUAUCAUAGAUGGAUGAAAUGUUAUUAAGUAAUUUUCUUCACUUUUUUUCCCAUUGUUUCAGGUAAAGUUACCAUGUUGCAUGAACGGGAAAAGAUUUCUUGCUGUAAAUAGAUGCCGAAACCUAAUGAGAGUUCCCUUUCUACUGGUUUCUAAAAAGUUCCUAAGAGCGGUAGUGAAUAGAACGCAAUACCUUUGGCAAAAGGUUGUGGUGUUGUUUUUGCUGCUCCUCUGCAUUCCAAAAUAAGGAUAGAACUUAGUCAGAGUAAGUAAGGGCCUCCUUCCUAACAUGGGGUAAAUAAAAGUUUAUUAAUCCAUAGAAUGGAAUUCUGGACAGUAGCCAAGGUGUUGUUGCUCUCUUUUUGAGUUCUCAAGCAUUUGCUGAGGCCAUGUUGUUGAUUGCUUCAUGGUCCUUUUUCUCAGUAAUGAGCUAACAUGAGUUGAAAGUGGUUGAUUCAGUUAUCAAUAUGAUGUAUCUAUGUCUAUAAAGAUGUUGCUAUUUUAUCCGGUGUUCCAUGAACACACCAAGUAGUAUUCAGCUUUACUAAUGCCGUACCAUUUCUUAGCUAACCGGACAAGCAGCUUGCCGCUCUUUGAAGGGAAGUCUAAACUAGAUGGCUCUAGAGGUACUCUGCUUUUGUUAACGUUAAUGCGGCAUACUCAGAGGUCCUCCCCCAUACUCGCCGGAUGAACAGAUUUCUCUCGAAUCUCUUGAGGUAAGCCUUUGCGAUAACAUGAGAAAGCUGCUUACGUAUGAGUGGCUGCUCCAUCUUCGAAAUCUUCAAAGUAUCGAGGUCACUGAGUGCAAAGGAAUGGUGGAGUUGAUAAGCGGAGCGGGACAAGGCCAAGAAGGAAGCAUAACGANNNNNNNNNNNNNNNNNNNNNNNNNNNNNNNNNNNNNNNNNNNNNNNNNNNNNNNNNNNNNNNNNNNNNNNNNNNNNNNNNNNNNNNNNNNNNNNNNNNNNNNNNNNNNNNNNNNNNNNNNNNNNNNNNNNNNNNNNNNNNNNNNNNNNNNNNNNNNNNNNNNNNNNNNNNNNNNNNNNNNNNNNNNNNNNNNNNNNNNNNNGGAGCUUCCGUAUAAAACCUGUUCAUUCCCAUUUCCAGCAGCAGGCGAGUGCCCUUGUUUCUCUAGGAAUUGGGUUUCUGCCUUCAACGAGAGGAAGAGUCUUUGCUCGAUCCCUGGAUGCUGACUGGUGCUUCAGAUUCUCAAGAACAGCUUCUUAGCUCUACUUCUAUUUGUGCAUCUUUGCUACUUGCAUGCAUCUGAAUCUUCUUUUUCUGUCCUAACCGGUAUGUUGCUUCGUCCUCAUCUUUGCCAUUUUCCAUUUGUAAGAAUCAAAUAGAGACUCCAACUGAACAUCCUUAUUUGCCUGGAUCAAAUAUGUGCCCACUUAACAAGUAGAUCUGAUGGAUUCUAUGCGAAAUGAAGGGUUAAAUGACCUGAAUGUAGGUGGGUGGACUUAACUGUGAGAUGCAAUAAACUUCUCGAAGAGAGACCAAGAAAUAGAGAGAGAAGGGGCGAGAAGAGAAAGAGAGGAAGAGCGACAACGGUGGAUUGCAGCCCGUCGAAAGGGUCGUGCUACGCCACAAAUCUCCAUUUUCGAACACUAGACAAGGUUGUUCUAGCUCUAUUCCUCACGAACUUGGGAUUUUUGUUUGUAAAGUUAAUAUCCGGAUCUAUUUUGUAUUUUGCUUUGCUGGCAACGAUUCGGUCAAAAUCCAACGAUAUUUCGAUUCCCCACAUCUCCUUGUAAUUCUAGAAUUAAUUAUUUUAUAGAGAAUGUAGUCCGCAAUUCCCAAGUUGUCUUUGAGUUGAUCCGGUGCUUCUUGUGUCAAAAACAGGAGAUUAUUCUUGGGUCGUUGAAUAUAAUUUGCAGUUUGGCUCUCCUGCUUUAAUACUUGUGAUGCUGUUAUUUGCUUGNNNNNNNNNNNNNNNNNNNNNNNNNNNNNNNNNNNNNNNNNNNNNNNNNNNNNNNNNNNNNNNNNNNNNNNNNNNNNNNNNNNNNNNNNNNNNNNNNNNNAUGCUAUGCGCGCUGAGAAAUAUUCAAAUGAUCUCUACGUUAUAUGAUCAAGUGCACUUUCUUUGCCCGCAGGUUGAUAAUCAAGACGGCAAGAUGCCGCGACUUGAAGAUAUAGCCUGGAAAUUCGUGAUUAGACAGGGCAAGAAAUGGCGUUGUCCUUACUGCAAAAUUGAAUACUCUGGAUCAGUCACAAGAGUGAAAAGUCACUUUCUUAAACAACCAAAAGAAGGGAUUGUCUCUUGCACAAAAGUGCCGGAGCACAUAAGCACGCUAAUGGAAUUGUUACAGAGUCAGGUGGCUUUAGCACUUGUGGUAGCUAUAUUAUGUGCUUGAGAAUAAUGCUAUGCGUGCUAAGAAGAUUUAUAAAAAAUGGGGAUAAUAUAUGAUAGGGGUGCGCUCUAUUUGCUUGCAGGUUGAUAACAAAGAUGAUAUAGCCUGGAAAUUCGUCGAUAGACUGGGGGAAAACAAAUGGCGUUGUCAUCACUGCAGGGAAGAAUUCUUUGGAGACCUUACAGGAGUGAGAGGUCACUUGCUUGAAGCCCCAUAUAAGGGGAUUUCCAUUUGCACAGAAGUGCCAGACCACGUAAGAACGCUAAUGCGGUCUUUACUCGAUGAGGUGGCUGAAGGAGGGAGCAGAGACUUGGCUGAAGAACAGAGCAGAGAUGCGGAGCCACAGUCGCGUGACGUGCUGUCUCCAGCUUUUCCUCCGUCAUCACAAAGCUCGGAGAGGGCGACUGACAUGGAAAACUCCAACUAUGACCUAGAGUGUCGUUUUCAUGAGACUUCAGCAAUGCCGUCACUGGCACAAAAUAUCCUUGGUAUGUUCAUGUGUUUCUAUACAUGCAUCUAGGCAUGGAGAAAAAACAUCCAUUAUAUUUUUCAAUGCAAACACGUCGGGUUUUUUAACCGAAGUGGAGACUUUUAAACAUCUCCAAUAAAAACGAUCUUUCUACGGAACUUUACAAAUGUGAAGUAAGUCAAUUACCUAUUCCUUAAUAACAGUGCAUUGUCCACUGGACUCACUGGAUCUAAUAAACUAACCAUAGAAGGCAUUUUCUCGUGUUCCAAUCAACCAUAUCCUAAUUUUGAUGAACAACACACAGGUGAAAGCAUGUCAUGUUUGCCAAUGACUUUAGCGGGAGUGGAAUCGUUUCUUUUUGAUUUGCCAGAACGGUCACAAUGUUCCAUUCAAUCUCAAAUGCAAUUGAAUGAUCAGCAGACUCCAGCAGGGACAUUAGCAUCCCAUUAUGAUCAAUUACCUGCUGCAGGUAAGUCAAAUUGCUUGCGGGAUAGUAAUCAGCACUCUCAAUUGCAAAUUCCAGUGGACAUAGAUCCCUCAAUUGCAUCACAGCAUACGAUCGACUCUCACGUUAUUUGGGUAACAAUCCUUGGUUUGCCAAUUCCAGAGGUGGCAGCAGAUACAAUAGGCCCAUCAUCAUCAUCACAAGAUGUGUCUUGAUUAAUCUAAAUAGAUACUAUCAUUUCGUUAGAUCCGUAAAUAUCCUCAAAUUAUUUUAUUGAAAUUUAACAUAUGUAUUUUUGUAAAAUAGAUAUGAACAGGGGUUCUCCAAUCAUGAACGUACGGAGGACACCACAACCUCGCAGAUGGAUGGAACAGGUGGUGCAGGAGGACAGGGCGGUCGACAUCGCAAACCUCCCAUCGGAUGGUGCAACAAAUCACUCUAUCGCAUCUCCCCUGCCAAAUUCAUUGCUUGAUGAUGGGCCAAAUGAACUGUUGCCCAUUUUACCUGGGUAUCUAACAUUAAAUCCACAACGGUAUCAAUGUGCGUCAUUGCCAGCACAAAACCACCAGCUCCUUGAUAAUACUUUUCAGAAUGAGUCACGGGGGUCCAUUUUGCCUGGUCUCAUUGCAUCAGAUGCUCCACUCACUAACGUGGCCACAACAAACACUGCCCGGCAUUUUAAUCAACCAGAUCAGACCUUUCACAGGCAGUGUGAAGGUGGCACUGGCUUAUCUCCUCUACCGCUUUCCAUGGACAUAGAGCCACCUCUUCCAUCACGACCUUUCAAUGGACCUCCUAUUAUUGAGCCAUUUAAUUCCCCUCCGCAGAUUCCAGAGGACAUCUUAAACACAACUGGCCCAUCAACACCGGAAGGUAUAAUACCAUCGAUCUAUUAAAUGGGUCUCGAUAACGCUUAUUAACAAAAUCCAUAUUAUAUUUAUCAUUCAUGUGGUCUCUUGUAAACCCCAUGUUGCUUCUAUGGUGAGUAAGAAUGUUUCAAUUGGAGUCUAAUGCAUGAAGUUGUGGCUUAUAAAUUAGUGAUGCCAGAAGGUGCACCAGCAGGGACAUCAUCAUUCCAGUAUGAUCAAUUGGUGUAGGUAAUUCAAAUCUGGAUUGCAAUCAGCCACGUAUAUCUAGUGUAACAAGUGUAGCCAACACUGUCCCGCAUUCUAACCUAUCAUUCGAAGCUGCAAUGAAGAAUGUGGAACUAAAACCAGUUCGUUUCCCCUGCGAGAUUCGAGGGGCAUAUGUCCCAUCACUGCAUUACGGCCUAUUAGGUGCCCUCACAUCGAGGCAACACUUGUCAAUUUGCAAGUUCUGGAGAAUGGAGCAAAUAUGGCUGGCCCGUAACCAUCACAAGUGACUGUCUUGAUUUACCUAAAUAGAUAGUCAUUCCAAAUUAAUCAUAGGUAUUCCAACUCGAGUGAGCGUUGAUGUUUUCAUUGCAGAAGUGAUCCUUCUUUGUAUUAUUAACUCUCUUUUAGUAUGACUCAAAUUCGUCUAUUUCCAUAUCUAAUCUUUUCUCAAUUACCGUAGUAUCAUUGCAUGUUAUGUUUGUCCAACAUCACUUACUUUACGGCAUGGUUUUUUCAUCAAAAUAUUUUACUUAUCUGCAUGUUGAUUUUCCUUGUGGAUGUCUUUUGUGACCAAGUUCUAUGUUGUUUUACCUGUGUGCAUGGACACUCCAAUAUCUUAGUGCAACCAGCUCUGGUGCCCCCUCAACAUCAAAGUGUUCCACAUCAAGCUCCAAAUAAUACUCCUUCAGCUCCUCAGAUUCAACGUCGUGGAACAGGUCUGAUAGUCCCAUCGUCAUUGCCAGGUAUAUAGUUAUUUACCUAAAUUAAUCCUUAUGCAUCGAUCACCAUGUUAUGUUAUUAAGGGAAGCAAGAAUGCUAUAAUGAGACCGAUGGAUUUAAUUGCAGAAUUAGAUAUGAGCAAGGGUGUGCCACUAACGAGUCACACAAACAUAAACAACAACUUUGAAAAGAGUAGAGCUUUGAAAAGAAAAAUAAAGCAACUCUACAGUAGAGAAGCUGACAUAAGGGAUGAGUUAGAAUUUGCCGGGUCUCUAUCACUAAAGAAGCAGAAAAAGGAAGUUGAGAAUUGGUUGGCGGAUGUGGAGCAGCUCAGAAAAGAUUUUCAGAGUAUUGAAGCAACAAGUGAGGAUUGUUUGCCGUCACACCAGCAGGUGGAUACACUGACGCAACAAGCAGAAGACCUUAUGAAACAAGGCGAAUUCCCAAAAGGACUAUUUGGGGCGAGAAAGACCAAAGUCAAUAAGUUGAUAGAACGAAAGUUGGUGGGAGAGGCAUUUAAGAGAAAUACAACAAAGAUUUUGGAGUACUUAGUAGGGAGUCAAAUAUCCCGACUAGGCAUUUAUGGAAUGGGGGGUAUUGGUAAAACCACUCUUAUGAAGCACAUACAUAAUAGACUUCUCGAAAAAGCAAAUCAUGAUAAUGUGUUGUGGAUCACCGUGUCACAAGAUUUUAACACACAAAAGUUGCAGAACGACAUUUGGGAGGCACUAAAUUUAGGCACACUACAAGAAAAGGAGGUGGGGCAACGAGCAGCAAUGUUGUCCGCUGUUUUAACCGAAAGAGAGAAGUUGAUCAUAAUCCUUGAUGAUGUGUGGGAAGAUUUCAAUCUUGAAGAGGUGGGAAUCCCUGUUAGAGAAGAUGGAAAUAAGUUGGUCUUAACCACUCGAUCCCUUGAAGUAUGCCGCCGGAUGCAAUGUCAAGAAAUAAAAAUCGAACCUCUAUCUCUAGAAGAAGCUGAGGAUUUAUUUUUUGAGGAGCUUGGAUCCAAAGUGGCCCUUAAUUUGGAAACAAUUGUGAAGUCCAUUGUUAAAGAAUGUGCAGGCUUGCCACUUGGAGUCAUCACGAUGGCAGCAAGCAUGCGAGGAGUGACGAAUGUGUCUGAAUGGAGAGAUUGCUUGGAGAAAUUGAAAGAAUCAGAUGCCCCAACGGAGAUGGAAAAGAGAGUCUUAAAGCAACUAGAAGUCAGCUACGAUCGCCUUGAGAAACGUGAAGUUCAACAGUGUUUCUUAUCUUGCGCACUUUAUCCAGAAGAUAGAUUGAUUGAUAAGGUCGAGUUGAUAGAAUUCUUUAUUGACCAAGGACUGAUUUGUGGAUUGAAUAUGAAUACGAGGGAGAAAGAAUAUGAUAGAGGCUUCACCAUAUUGAGCAAACUGGAAAAUGUUUGCCUAUUGGAAGAUUAUGGAGAAAACAUGAAGAUGCACGAUUUGAUUAGAGACAUGGCAUUGCACAUCAUGAGUGCAACUUCCAUUGUAAAAGCAGGAAAGUGGUUGGAAAGUAUUCCAUCUGAGGAAUAUUGGACAGAUGCUUUGGAGAAAGUUUCUCUGAUGGAAAACGAAAUAAGUGAAAUUCCAUUGAACAUGUCACCAAAUUGUCCUAAACUAUCAACUUUACUACUGAAUGGAAGCUUGUUAAAGGAUGCGGUCCUCCCUGGUUCUUUCUUCAAACAGUUAUGUGGGCUAAAGGUUCUAAACCUGAGUGACUGUGAACUAAUAGAACUUCCAAAUUCCAUCUCAAAUUUGGUAAACUUGAGGGCACUAUUGCUUAGAGAGUGUCGGGAAUUGUGCCAUAUUCCUUAUUUAGGGAAGCUCACAUCUUUAAGAAAGUUGAACGUUGGUGGCUGUUCUAAGCUUAAAGAAGUGCCCGAGGGUCUGGAAAUGUUGGUGAACUUGAGAUACCUUGACCUACGUUUUUCAUCGACCGUUGAAUUACCUGAAAGAGUACUAGGGGGUUUGCUAAACUUGCAGCAUCUUAAAGUUUAUUUUCUAGAUGGACAAGACAUGACAAAAUUGAGGGCACUGGAGACACUCAAAUGCUCUUUUGAAGAUGCGAAUGAUUUCAAUAAGUGAACAGAGUAACCCUCGCUGUUAUUAUUAUCUCGGCAUGGCUCAAAAAGAUAUUUCUUAUUAUCGUGAAGCAUGUUAUUCUACUCAUGAGGAAUACCGUGAUAUUACUCAAAUUGAGAAUCGGAAGAGGGAAGUCAAAAUUUGGGGGUGGGAUCAUGCUAUUGUGAGUGUGGGAGGGGAAUGCACCGGCAUUUUUAUUUUGAUUCCCCACACCCGUGCAGAAAAUGACAAUGAUUGGUUGCGACGGUAUAACAAAUUUGUCUAGCAUAGGUCCGCUUAAAUACCUUGAGGAUCUAUGUAUAGGAUACUCAGAAAACUUAGGGAUGCUCUGUGGAGGAGAAGACGAAGAAGUAAUCGACAUCCUUGCCCCAGCCCUUGCGCCUCUCCUCUUCUCGAGCCUUAGGGUUUUAAAAAUAUAUGAUUGUCCAAAACUGAAGUAUCUCUUUGGGCAUGGGUCUAAAUCCAUCCUUCCGCAUCUACGAGAGAUUGAAAUAUAUGGAUGUGAGAAAAUGGUGGGGAUAAUAGCAGCAGUUACAUCCCCACCACCACAUCCGCUCCCAUUUUUCCCUAGUCUGGAACAGAUUAGCAUUAGUCGCUGUAACAAGAUGAAGAGAGCGGUGGAAUCUGAGUGGAUGCCCCACUUCCCUACUCUGAGAGGAAUCACAGCAAUUUAUUGUGAGAAGAUGGAGGAGAUAAUCGGAGGUCCUCCCCCAUACUCGCCGGAUGAACAGAUUUCUCUCGAAUCUCUUGAGGUAAGCCGUUGCUAUAACAUGAGAAAGCUGCUUACGUAUGAGUGGCUGCUCCAUCUUCGAAAUCUUCAAAGUAUCGUGGUCAGUCACUGCAAAGGAAUGGUGGAGUUGAUAAGCGGAGCGGGACAAGGCCAAGAAGGAAGCAUAACGACUUCUGUAAACAACACUCCUUCAUCCUUCCAGCCUUCUUCAAUUUCUCUCCCAAAGCUAGAGUGUUUGAAGCUACGCUAUCUACACCAGCUGAAGAGCAUAUACAAAGCCCCAAUAAGCUGCGAUUCCAUGAAAAGAUUGAAAGUGUACGGAUGCCCAGAACUGAAGAGGAUUCCUUUGCAACUGCCACUGCGUGAAAUUGAGGGAGCUUCCGCAUAUUUAUGAUGGAAGAUGAGGAAAAGUGGAAGACGGCUGAUGUGGGGAUCAUCCCGGAUGCUCAGGCUAUUCUUUCAACCUUAUCUCCAAAAAGGGUCAAAUGCUAUAGGUUAAUGAGUUUAAUUGGAUAUACGAUUGCUUCACUUCUUUAAAAGUCCUUUCAAAGAUAUAGCUUUUCUGUCUAUAUAGUCAUGCAGCUCUAAUAGUGGCCUUCUGUAGUACUGAACACCCAGGUGAAAGCAUCUCCUGCGACUUCACUCUUUGAAGAAGAACCCUGGCUGCUCGACCAUGGCUUUCCUACCAACUUGGACCUCAGGUUGCCAUAUGAACUGACUUUUUUUGUGUUGCCAUGCUUUGUCUAUUUUGAAUGCGAUCGCAUGUUUCAUUGACUACUGGAAAUGAGUCUAUCUGGUCGAUAUUUCAGGUUAGUCAAAAAGCAAUGGAUCUGAAGAUUUGGGAAGCCAAGGGAAUAGCAAAGUCUGUUUCCUAUCUUGUCUUAUAACUGAAAGGACAAUUUAUUAUUAUGGAUUGAUUUUCUUGGGAUAUUAGCCUUCUAAGAAAAGAGAGAAUUUUGUGCAGCACUACCUUUAAUCUGUUUUUGUUUAAAAAGGAUUUCAAAUAUGAUAUUGCUUUAACUUGUCGAUCGAAAAUAUUGUGUCAAAUACGCUGCUUUGCUCUGUUGGAUCAGAGCAACAUGACCCCAAUUAAACUUGUUUCGACGUUAAACUAUCGGGUAUAGAAUACUUGAUCUGCUUAGUAGUUGUAUCAUAUCUGGAAACGUAGGCCGGGAAGUUUUCUUUUCACCCUUUGUCAUACUUUGAAUUAGAAAUGUAAAAAGACGAAGAAGAAAGAAUUACACAGCUAUCACCCCUCUUUAAAUGCCUCGAAGUUGUGGAUAGAUGGAGAACCCUACAGCUUCAGCUCAAGUAACCAAAAAUCAGAGCAGUAACCACUAGCAAGUCAAUGGAAAAAAGGCCAGCUUAUAGGAUGUGGCACUUUUGAAAGUGUUUACAUUGCAAGCAACCAGUAAGUUAGCUCUGGGAAUCUUAGACAUGUUCCAUUUUUUUAGAUAUCCAGUCAGCUAAACUUUGACAUAUUAAGUGACAGAAAAACCAGAUCUCUAUGUGCAGAGAAGGAGUUUGAGCUAUUGCGUAAUGAUCCAAAUUUAGCUGAGUGCAUCGAGCAGUUAAAGCAGGUAAUGUUUUUGUUAUGCUCUGGGAUCCAAUCUAUCCUCUCAUCCGAUCUAAAUAUGCUGGGAGGAAACUUUCUUUCAUCAUUUCCAAGUAAUUGAUUGCUUUGUUACUACAGGAAAUUCAGGUACUUAGCUAGCAUAGACAUCCGAACAUUCUGCAGUAUUAUGUAAGGGAAAUUGUGAGUCACAUUUCCAUAGCAUCUAUGCGUCCCAACUCAAUGGGCGUUCAUUAUUUGACUCACCAAAAUUUCAACAUAUUCAUACAUACUCAGGUUGAGGAUUGGCGUUACAUAUAUCUAGAAUAUGCACAUCACGAUUCAAUAGACGAGUAUAUCCAGGAGCGUCUUGGGACCCUAACAGAAUCGGUUGUCAGCACUUUACCCGCUAUAUUGUGGCUGGAUUGGCUUCCCUGCAUGUUAACAACUCCAUACAUGGGUAAUUCUAAACCAUUGAUCAAGCAUCAUGAGAUGACUUGCAUAUUGGAUUAGGAUGAUUGGACCUUCUUCUUUGUGCCCCCAGACCUGUUAAAACUAUUUGGCUUGUGCAGGGAUUUAAAGGGAGCUAAUUUAUUUGUGGAUGCAUCUGGGAUAUGCAAACUUGCUGACUUUGGGAUUGCUAAACAUGUGAGUUUUUACCUCUUCACUGCAAGACUACUCAGUGCAUGUAGAAAUUCCUUGCUGAUCUGUGGUACAUUCGAAUGUGAAGUCAGGGACCCAGGGUGACUGCAUACUUCUCAUUAUUGGUUUGUGGCAUUUCAUAUGUGCAUAAAUCUAUCAUAGAUGGAUGAAAUGUUAUUAAGUAAUUUUCUUCACUUUUUUUCCCAUUGUUUCAGGUAAAGUUACCAUGUUGCAUGAACGGGAAAAGAUUUCUUGCUGUAAAUAGAUGCCGAAACCUAAUGAGAGUUCCCUUUCUACUGGUUUCUAAAAAGUUCCUAAGAGCGGUAGUGAAUAGAACGCAAUACCUUUGGCAAAAGGUUGUGGUGUUGUUUUUGCUGCUCCUCUGCAUUCCAAAAUAAGGAUAGAACUUAGUCAGAGUAAGUAAGGGCCUCCUUCCUAACAUGAGGUAAAUAAAAGUUUAUGAAUCCAUAGAAUGGAAUUCUGGACAGUAGCCAAGGUGUUGUUGCUCUCUUUUUGAGUUCUCAAGCAUUUGCUGAGGCCAUGUUGUUGAUUGCUUCAUGGUCCUUUUUCUCAGUAAUGAGCUAACAUGAGUUGAAAGUGGUUGAUUCAGUUAUCAAUAUGAUGUAUCUAUGUCUAUAAAGAUGUUGCUAUUUUAUCCGGUGUUCCAUGAACACACCAAGUAGUAUUCAGCUUUACUAAUGCCGUACCAUUUCUUAGCUAACCGGACAAGCAGCUUGCCGCUCUUUGAAGGGAAGUCUAAACUAGAUGGCUCUAGAGGUACUCUGCUUUUGUUAACGUUAAUGCGGCAUACUCAGAGGUCCUCCCCCAUACUCGCCGGAUGAACAGAUUUCUCUCGAAUCUCUUGAGGUAAGCCUUUGCGAUAACAUGAGAAAGCUGCUUACGUAUGAGUGGCUGCUCCAUCUUCGAAAUCUUCAAAGUAUCGAGGUCGCUGAGUGCAAAGGAAUGGUGGAGUUGAUAAGCGGAGCGGGACAAGGCCAAGAAGGAAGCAUAACGACUUCUGUAAACAACACUCCUUCAUCCUUCCAGCCUUCUUCAAUUUCUCUCCCAAAGCUAGAGUGUUUGAAGCUAUGCUAUCUACACCAGCUGAAGAGCAUAUACAAAGCCCCAAUAAGCUGCGAUUUCAUGAAAAGAUUGGACGUGUACGGAUGAUUGACUUAUUUCAAGUGCCAUACGUUGUUGCAAAUGGAUGUUGUACUGUAAAGUUCCAUAUUUACUAAACCAGAAUAAUCACAGGGUCCAUAGAUGUGAUGAAGUACUUGUAUAUCGACGAAAUAAGAUGCAUGUUCCUCUCGCAUGGUUUGACCAGUGUCAUCCUACGAUCUAGGCAAAUUUGACAGUGUUGCUUAAUCUAAACAUUUUGUAUGAAGUACAUUUAUUCAUCAAAAUUGAAUGGUAUUGAUAUGGCUCCAAAUAAGAAACGGAUCAGCAAAACAAAAGUAAUAAAACCCAAGGAAAGACAAAAGUAAUAAAACCCAAGGAAAAAGGAAAAGAAAAAGAAAAUCGAAGUGAUAGUGCAUCAGAAUUCCUGAAUUGGUGGGAGGAACAUUGGCAGGUUUGGCAAACCUGCAACGUCUUAGGACUUGGGAAGUGAAGGGAAAAAUAUCAAAGUUACGGGCAUUGGAGGCUCUUAAUUCUUCCGGACAGACCACAAUGGCUUUUCUCUAUUCACCGGAAAUUGGUGAUGGUGAUGAGGGCCACUCUGAUUGGAGAAAUUUCAUGUAUUUGUUGAGAUCAACGAUGAUGAUGAUCCAAGAUUUGCAACUUUCGAGUGGAGAAAUUUCAUGUAUUUGUUGAGAUCAACGAUGAUGAUGAUCCAAGAUUUGCAAUUUUCGAGAGGAGAAUCAACGUUGAUUGUUGCGAUAAUGCUUGUCAGGGCAGCAGGGAAAAGUUUUUUCCUGGUGGUUUUGCGGCUUUUGCCCCCAAGUGAUGCUGCAAGUUUGCUGGAUUUCCCCCUAACGGUUUUUUGUCAUUUCCCGGAACGUUUUUGGAAUAAUUUUGCAUGUUGUUACAAAGAUCUCAUGCGGUUCGUUUACAGGAUUUUAAUAGGCCUUAUAUUUAUAUAAUUUACCUUCACUUACUCGUUCAAAUAUUUAGGUUGGAUUUUUUCCUAUGUGCAAAUAGCAAUUUUUACGUGAAAUGCAAACUAAACAUGCUUCCUUUUUAUUAUUAUUUUUUCUGCAAUUAAAGUGAUUCCUCUACCCUAAUGCAUACCAGAAAUAUAUUCAAAAGUGUGACAGGAAAAAGAACUCCUUGAAAUUUUGCAAAGUCGGAGGCGCUUUUUAGACCAAGCGAUGUCUCUCGGCUGCAUUGAAAUAUGUCUUCGUUUUCGUUUUCUUUUGUUCUUUUCCUCAAUCUUCAANNNNNNNNNNNNNNNNNNNNNNNNNNNNNNNNNNNNNNNNNNNNNNNNNNNNNNNNNNNNNNNNNNNNNNNNNNNNNNNNNNNNNNNNNNNNNNNNNNNNGCUGUUUUUUUUUUUUUUUUGUGUGUUCUCUGCCCAAACCUUAAUGAAGACUACUAAUUGGUGUUUGGUCUUUCAAAGUGUAGCAUUAUUGAGCAUCAUCAUCAACUCAUCAAGUUCGCUAAACUCAGUCAUCAAUUAACUAACGAUUCUUGUCUAACAGGAACUGCACCAACGUAGCAAGAAAAAGAUAAACAAAAACUCAGGCAAGAACUCAUUCGUUUUCAAGACUCGGUCAUAAAAAUCGAGGAAAAGAAACUAUGAAUAUGUGCCGGAUUUUUCUCUGCUGCCGUGCCCUUUUUAACCUACUUUUGACCCAGAAUUCGACCAUUUACAGCUCUCGGUUCCUUUUGUGUGUUUUCACACUGCUAAUUUCCUUCAUUCACACACGAAGGAAAGUCGUGUUGAAAGUGGCCUCCUUUCGGCCAACCAGGAGGAGGGAACGGAAAGGACUUCACUUCGAAGAGCGGGCACGUCCAAAAUUCUCAUAAGAAUUCCCAUUUAAAUUCGCCUGGAAAUUUAGAGUCGGGUUGUGUAACAGAUUGGUUCACAAUAAUUGCACUCUUAUUAGAAAGGGCAGUACAAUCACAAGAAUGUGAGAUUACAAAUGGAUGUUAUUAUGGGUCAAAUUAUCAGUGUUUUUCUUCGUUAAUUUUUAUGAAGAUGCGAUUGAAACCUUUGAGCUCGUAACAGUAAUUUAACUUAAAAACUAUUGAGUUAUUAUAGUCUUUAAAUCAUUCUUGGGACAUUUUUUUUUUCUUUUGGAUCUGAAGAUCCAAACUACAUAUGAAACGAGUCCCGUGAUUGGGAAAACACGAAUUUAGCAUAUUAUGCUUGCUCCUAAAUAUUUUUAUGUGGAUGCCACAUAACAAGUACCUAUAUAAGUUCAUGCAAAUAGGAUCCAACGAAUUAACAAUCCAAAAUUUGAGAGAAAAUAUGAAGUGAUUUUGUGCAUUUUUGAAACUCUGUUAGUGUACAUUCUUGUAGUUUUUCCUUGUCCAAAUAUACUGAUUUUCAACUUUCACUAAGAUGUUGCAAAUUCAAUUAGAAGCAUAUAAUUAAUAGUCCUAAUUAGCCAAGUCACAAAACCAAUCAUAAGAGAUUCAUUGCGGUUGUCACAAAGUCUUGAAUUGGUGGGAUGGUUAUUCCCAUGGCAAGAGCGGCUAACAUCGCAAACUUCAUCCUCUAGGGAUUAAGUUAAAAUAUUACCUUUGGCACUUAAGGUGUUCUUAUACUCCAUAAUAAAUAUGUUACUUAUUUUAUCAAUUAAUCUACCCUCAAUAAUAUGCUAAUAUUGGUUUAGAUAAUUUGUCGAUUUGGCUAUAACUUGGAAUAAGAGACAAUAACAAUAUAAAUCUAAUAUUGAAAAAAAUUUGUAUGAUUUUUUUUUUCACUUAUUAGUUAUUCUUUUAGCAAUUACCGAAUAACAUCAUUCAAACUGCAUAAUGCCAAAUCUAUUUUUUUUUUCCAAUUACAUUAUGCCAUAAAUGUGCGAAUCAACAUACAUGAUUUCACCUCAAACAAAUGGACUUUUUUUAUGAAUAAAUUUUUUAAAAAAAAAAGAUAGAAAAAUAGCUCAUAUUAGGGCCAUUUACCAGGUAAUGCAAAUUAAAACCAAGUCUUAUUUAUGUCUAUUAAAAAUUUCCAAUGCCAUAUCAUAUCAUUUACACCUAAAAUGCAUAGAAUAUACAUUCGGAGAAGAAGGAAGAUAAGAGAAACUUAAACAAAAGAGCAUUUCUAUCUGUCGUAAGAUAGAAAGUAAACAUCAAAUUUAGAUAAUCUUACUUUAAAUACUUAUGUAGCAAGCACAUUCAUAAAAAUUAGAACAUAAUGUAAGCCUAAACAAUAAUAUAACGAUUGAUUUAUAUAAAGUGUCAAUAUAACAUUAUGCAAAAAAUUUAUACAUGUAAUAUGGGUUCAUAUCAAUAAAUGGAAUUGGAAGUAAAUUUCUGAAUCUGUGCAACCCAUGGGUCUUUGUUUACUACACAUUCUACAAAAAAAUGCAGUCAUAAGUUACAAUUUGAUGGAAUCACCUACCAAUUCUACUCACAUCAUAGGAAAUGUUUUCUAGCAGCUGGAUGGCUUGGAAUAUUUUGGGGCCAGAGAUGGACACAUUUCAUUCAUAUGAGGGUACAGGUCUACUGUAUUGUAUCCUGGCAGCUCCANNNNNNNNNNNNNNNNNNNNNNNNNNNNNNNNNNNNNNNNNNNNNNNNNNNNNNNNNNNNNNNNNNNNNNNNNNNNNNNNNNNNNNNNNNNNNNNNNNNNNNNNNNNNNNNNNNNNNNNNNNNNNNNNNNNNNNNNNNNNNNNNNNNNNNNNNNNNNNNNNNNNNNNNNNNNNNNNNNNNNNNNNNNNNNNNNNNNNNNNNNNNNNNNNNNNNNNNNNNNNNNNNNNNNNNNNNNNNNNNNNNNNNNNNNNNNNNNNNNNNNNNNNUAAAAAAGAUAACCCAACUAGGGUCAAUCAGAUCGCACUUACAGUGAACUCUGUAACAUGAAUGGAGCUAGAAAUUGGAUCAAGAGUCCUGCUGCUUUGUACAUUCAAGAACAAAAGCUACACAAGAGGCGGACUUCCCAUCACUAUAUACCCAAUGGUCUUGCUCUGGAGUGUCAGCAGUUCAGCAAAAGAUGACCCCCUCAUUUCAGUUUCGUGUAUUAGAUUAGGAAGAUCCAAGCCCUGUAUGCAACACAAUCGUAAGGUAGCCAUAAAGUAAAGUAAGUGUAAUUACAACCAUAUAACAUUUGUUAACAGAAUGUCAUCCAAGAGACAUUAGAUUUCAGUUGCACCUCAGUGUGCAAAACAAGAUGCAUAACGUCACACAGACAAUUGCAAAUUGAAUGGGACGGUACCUUUGUUCCUAGUCACUUGUUGAGUGCUUCAUUCCAUAUGUUCGCAGCAUAGGCUGGUUGCACUUGGUUCCAUAGUCAUAACAGAAGCAACCUACAAUAAUACAAUGCUUUCUAUAAAAUGAGUGAACCGCACUCCCAUCACGCGAAUAAAGCACCCCACAUGGUGAGCAUAUUACAUGCAUCGUCAGUCAGGCUGAUAGCAACUCUUAAGAAACAAUGAACAAAGUCUACUAUUUUGCUGUCUUAGUAUCAUAUAGGAGGCCAUAAAAAAUGAAUAAUUGUCAAACUAAGCCAGGUUCUUUUCCAUAACGUUAGCACUCAAUAGAGUCACAUACGAACCUGCUAUUUGGCAAAAUCACUGUUCAUUUUUUAGCCUUUUGUCUUGUUCAGUUGAAUUCAUUCGAAAUCAUGGCAUGAUUGUCUAAUUUCAACUAGAAUGUGUUGUUAGGAUCUAACACACGGCUUAAUAAUAUUUCAAGGUCUAUCAAAGUAAGAGUAAANNNNNNNNNNNNNNNNNNNNNNNNNNNNNNNNNNNNNNNNNNNNNNNNNNNNNNNNNNNNNNNNNNNNNNNNNNNNNNNNNNNNNNNNNNNNNNNNNNNNGCAUCUAAGAAUCUCAAGGCAUCUACAGAUAUACCUUGGAAGUAACACAAGGCCUUAGCGCUAGAAAAUUGUCUAAGGCAACUGAAUGCACCCACAAAAUAUAUAUAAACAUAUAUGAACGUGUACAAUCUCUGUACCACAUGAGCAUCUAAUGGCGGUAGAUAAUUUGCGCCGAUGGUGUCUAUCCAGCUAAAAAGCAUGUUGUGAUAACCAUAUGGUUUCCCAUUCAUAAUCUGUGCAAACUCCCAUGCAGCAGCUCAUUAAAUUUGGCUCACAUAUCAGGAUGCAGUGGAAGCAACGCAAUGUGGGGAUUUGAGUAAUCUUUGUUAAGCUCGAACUCCCACCAUUUUCCCAUGGUAACACAGCAAUGACAUCUUCUCCCUGCAAUGAUAAGAACAAAACAAAACUUGCAUAAUCUCUAUUACUAUGUUAGACUUCUUAGCACCUGACCCCUUUACCAACACAAAGGAACAAAGCAUGUAGCAAAAACCCAAAUGUGACCAUAAAUUUAUUAAUCAAGGUCUGCCUCAAGUAAAGGACGUCAUUUCAUCAAAUUCUAACCAUAAUCAUCAUCAGUAAGUUAUCGUCUCGUGUGUAAGGAUGGUCCUGAAGUUCAGCAGAAAAAGUUCAGACACUGCAUUCCCUAUGUUACAAAUAUGAUGAUGCUCCAAUAGAGCUUCUAGUAGGAGCCUAGAUAGGAUCAGCUGCAGUUCAACAUGAACCUGAAGCAGCAUGUCAUCGUUUACUUACUCAUCCUCUCUUACAAUCAAAAGUUUCUAUGGGAGCACAAAAAGGAAAGACCUAUCUUAUUAGAGAACAUAAGAUGAGCAAGGAGAUUUAAGGACAUAGGGGCAUGACUAAAGCACGCUUAAUAUGCAAAAUGGAACGAUCUCAAUGGGAACCAUAUUUGUGAGAGAAGAAGUCCAUGAUUCGACAAAAGUCACAUUUAUAAAGUAAUCACACAGAAAUACAAUGCCCCAAAAACCUAAGGGUUCAUGAAAUGUUAGAGAAACACAGCAGAAACCCUACUUGUCCUUUUCAAUAUGUAUGAGACCACACUUUGAUAAUCAGAGGACAUUAAAGCAGUAUUGUAUGAGUGUCUUUAAUAAUGAAUGACAGAUAAGCAUAGGGAAUUUUUUUUUUUUUUUUGGGUCGGUAAGCACAGGGAAUUAAAGAGAUGGAGAAAUAAUGACUCAAACAAUUCUGGGGGUGUUUGAAACAUUUGAACGUUUGUCUAUUGGAUAUCCCCAUAUAGGAACAAUGUGGACAAUUAUUGUGGAAGACUGGCAUACUUACAGCCAUGUUAAUAUUGUGUCUAUGCAAUUGGUUUAAAACUUUACUUCACAAUUACAAUUGCAGAGACAGCAGCAGGCAAAAAGAUUGGAUGAAAUGUCGAACAUCAAAAGCAAUCCAUCAAUGUAUGGAAAAAAAAGAACGNNNNNNNNNNNNNNNNNNNNNNNNNNNNNNNNNNNNNNNNNNNNNNNNNNNNNNNNNNNNNNNNNNNNNNNNNNNNNNNNNNNNNNNNNNNNNNNNNNNNNNNNNNNNNNNNNNNNNNNNNNNNNNNNNNNNNNNNNNNNNNNNNNNNNNNNNNNNNNNNNNNNNNNNNNNNNNNNCCAACCCAAAGCUUUCCUUCAGCAUCCCUUAAGCACACAGCUGUGUGACCAGCAUAUGCGCCACUGACCCAUUUCUCUAGAGUCCCAAAACCACCCCACCUUCCACGAAUUUUUGAAAUUGCAAUGAAGUCUCCAGAGUGGAUAUCAUCAAUGCUGAUGUUUGUAACCCAGGGCUGGGGACGUUGCUCAAAUGAAGCUCCCAUAUGCUUCUUGAGAAAACCAAUGUUAGAUUUCUCCCCUCACCCGGUAUUUGAAAACAAGGAAACACAUCCCACAGUGCUUGAAGGGUCCCAAGCAUCCCAGCUUGCAUCAGAAAGAUUGACACUCCUCUACUUUUCACCUGCAAUCAAAAUAAUGGAAAAUCAAAGUUUGACAACUCGCCAAUAUGCACAAGCAAGAGCAGAAGAGAAAAAAGAUAAUUGCAGCUUACAUAUUCAAACUCAGCUUUUCCUUCCCACUCUUUGAACUCAAAUGUGUGCUCACGAGAUAAAAGAUACUAGUCCCAUGUCACGCAGUAUGGGGUUGCAAAGACAUAAAUAUCCAUACACGUCCAGCUAUGGGCUUUGCUCACCUGGAUGAGCAAUCCAAACUCAUGGUUACAAGCCGGAUACCUACAACUAGUUGUUAGUUUCCAUAUUCAGCAGAACUAGAUGCAAAAACAAGGACUAUGAAGCAUCAACACGAGGCAGUACCCACCCAAACUGGAAUAGCCUCCAUAAGAUAAUUUGAUUUUACAUCAAACGAAACAAUUGUACUUGUAUGAGCAACCAAAUCACUAAAUCCUUCUUCAACCACUUAAAACCUAGACACAAAAGACUCAAGUGACCAACCAUGGUACCAAUUCGUGGAGCUUAAUCAAAGUACAAACAAGCAGAUGAAAGGAGAAGGAAGAAAAAAACUUAGCUAGUGACGAAAUCCACUAGAAACAUAUUGAAGUAAGAACUGAAAAAUUCCAUCACUCAGAUUCCAACAUAAAUAGCAGAUGAGAAAAGAGAACAGUUGGGAUCAAGUGGCAUGGGCCCAAACAUCGAAAGGAUAUUCUCUAACGUCCUUUNNNNNNNNNNNNNNNNNNNNNNNNNNNNNNNNNNNNNNNNNNNNNNNNNNNNNNNNNNNNNNNNNNNNNNNNNNNNNNNNNNNNNNNNNNNNNNNNNNNNAGUGAUUUUCUUUCACAACUCUAUAGAUAAGUAUGACGCACACUUCAGUUGGUAAGAAAAAUUCGUAAGUAGAUAGAAACUCUAUCCAGUUUAGAGCUUUGAAUCCAUUAGAAAAAAUCGACCUCAAAUUAACUAAAAUAGAAGCUCAAACUAAGUUAAUCGGAAACUGGGAAAAGCUGCCCAAACGAUGGCCAUUAGACCCCAUCAAACAAACUCCUACAACCUCACAUCUCCUAGAAUUAUCACACAAUCCGAACUGCAGUGAAUUGAAUUAAGCACUAACAUUCGACCAGAGAACCUUAAAAGCUCGUGAACAGUGACUGUCUCUGCACAUUACCAAGCCGCCACAAGCUCAAGCAUCCCAAAAUCUUCCAGAAUCGCACUCAAACACAAGUAUUUCCAUUCCAUCCCGUUCCCCACUAUUCACCAAACAAAAAACAAGACUUGGAAUCAUCACUCCAGUCCAUUCCUUUCCCCAUCAUUUCCCGAUUUCAUUCCAUUCCACCGUACCAAACCCAACGUAAUAGUCAACUAGAAAACCUCAUCUUCCAGAAUGGCACUCAAAACCAAACGGAGACCAAGCAAAAGCGACGCGAUAAAACUAAAGAACGGACCUUAAUGUGAGGCGUGCCUCCGCCGAACUUGCUCCCGGUGUUGUUGUGGAACUCCAACCAAGCGGUCGGAGGAAAAAACGGUGCCGACGAAGGCGGGCAACAGGUCCAGGGGACGGCGAAGGGCGUUGAGGAUGGGCCAGGACAGCUGCUUCGGCAAUAGAUGGAGUAUGUUCUCCAUGGUGGAAUGGUGGUUUCGCGGCUCGAGAGCGCGGGUUGAGCAGAGAGGAGAACGUGAAGAGGAAGAGAAGCAGCAGAAAUUGGCUGACGAGAAGCCAUUGAAAUUGCGAGAGAGAGAGAGUCACCUCUCCAGCGACGGUCCACUUCUUUUUAGUGUCUCGCGCUACACUAUAAAAGGUGUAGGGGUAAGAGGAGCCACUCGUUUUGAUUACAUCCUUGGACGCUUGGUAAUUUAGGGUGCUUAACCAGUUAAAUGAAACAUUAAAGCAUAAUCGGGGCUGAAAAUAUUCUGUAUUCUUAUAUUAUGUAUUAAUGUUGGCAAAAAUCUUAAAUUAUAUCCAUCGUGACAUUAAUGUCUCGAAUUAGUAUUGAUUUCGUGGCGAACAAAAGUUAAGAUUUUUAGAGACAAGCUAGAGGUAUUUCCACUUCAAAUAUAAGUUUUAAGUGUAAAGAAGGGCGAUUAGAAGUCUCCAUGGAGGACCUAACCCUAUGGGAAGAUAUAUUGCUUACCCACCCCCUUGUAGCUUACCGUCAAACUACGGCCAUUGAUAGCUUCAAAUUGGCUUAUAUUGCCUAUCCCUCACCCUCUUAUAUUGCCUCAACAACUUUCACUACACCGCCCUCUCAGGACUUAGUUAACAUCAAGAGUAUCCUUUUAUUUAUAUGUUGUCAGUACGAACUUGACAUUUAGCUUGAUUUCGCAAUAACCAUGCAAUCUUCCUUGUUGCUAAAUUGUGUCUUGAGUUUGAGCCGAAUCCACACCUUAUUGCUCAAAGUCACGCACGAAAUGCAAUGCGCACACAAGUCUUGGACCUUUUUUCUCUACUUCAUUAAUGCUAUGCUUGCACGAAUCUCCUCCUGUGUCCCCUUAUCAUUUUAUCUUCUUUUUUUGGUUCGAAUCCCCUUUUGUCAUUGAAGGAGCUGAACGUCCAUUUUUCGCCCUCACUCCACAGCGCUCCCUAUUUCGGAUUCUCGCUCGAUCAGCGAAAUGAGAAAACUUGGCGCCGAAGUGGACGUCGGAAAUGGCGGUGAUGGCGACGUUCUUGAGGCCUAGCCUCAAUAUUCGAGUGGAAUUGAGAGGGUGCUUCCAUUCCAGACAGUGGUGGAGAACUGUGACGCUCACGGGGUGAUCGAGACCCCGGAGAUUGGAUCCGAGCACAGAGGCACGUGAGUCGUUUUCGCGUUUUCAUGGAACAGGGGUGGACGUUGGUGAUCUGGAUGGGGAAAGGAUGGAGCUUGAGGAGGAUGGUCAGGGACGCGUAUAGAAACGGACUCGACUUAGGGUUCAAGAACGGGUUUACAAAUGGGAUUCAGGUUGCGAAAUGGACCUGCAUCUUUCUAGGAUGGAGAAGUUUUUUCCAGAAAUUGUGAGACGAUUUCGGGAAUUUGAAAGAAACGAGAAGGACCAGAGCACAGGGCAAUUUUAAUUUAUUUUGGCCAAACGUUCGAGCAAUAGUUUCGAAUUACUAAGGAGUAUAUAUAAAUUUCAGCACGGUGACCUCUUUGGUUCAGAUCGGAAAAGUAGUGUGGGGGUGGUGUCUCGCCGCCCUCUAGCGAUACACAAGGGCCUGGCAGUGCAACGUUGUGGGCUUAGUAGGGCUUUUAGGGCUUAUUUGCCGGAUAUUCAUCGAUUUCUGGCCGAAUACAUGGCAACAACCAACGGCGGAGGUUGUUCUCAUGGGACAGCCACAGCCAUGGUCGCCGUCCCCUGAAAUGAUUAAGUUAAACAAUUUGUCAAAUUGCUUAAUUCAACAAUUUCGCACUCAACAGUGUCGACUUCGUAACUCACUUUCUCUGAUGAAAAAUGACCAAUAUCAUGCGUUUAAACCACAGUAGGCAUCGGCUAAGAUCAAAACGUUCAGAUUCAGCCGCAACAAGUCAACGAUGAGGCCCUUGAAAGACUUCUAUCCUUCCAAAGUCUUUUCUUGACUUAGGCAAUUCCAUUUGUUUCUUCACAUACUUGUUCAAGUUUUUGGGUUAGACUGUCAUGUGCUGAUGACUUAAUUAUUGCGUGAUUAUAUUAUUAAACUAAAUAAUUUGAUAGAUUAUGAUUGAUCUUAUUAAGCCAACUGCAUUUGAUAUUUUCACGUUAUUUGGCAUACAAAAUGUCGAUAUAAAUAGUAUAAUUCUAGGGGCUAAAAUUGUAAUUGACUCAAAGGCGAACGCGUAUUUGUGAGUAAUACCGUCAAACUCCUUUUGAGAUUCUCCUUCCAAGGCAUGUUCUCCUACUUAGAUAACUCGAUCAGUUUCCUCUUUUUUUCAAUAAUAUAAUUUAAUUUCCCUUUAUUAAUUUUCUCUAUUUAAAUCUAGUGUAUUUCUCUACUAGUGUUUUCGCUCCUGGUGAAAUAAGGGGAUUAAAUUUAUUUGGUCGGUUAACUAUCAACGUCAAUUAAGAUUUAAUUUCUUUCUAUCUCUUUUUGUAAAUAUUUAUACACAAAAUUCUUAUUGUGUAUUUUUGUCAAUAAAUUAUUUUCAUGAUUUAAUAAUUCAUAUAUUUUACCAAAAAAAUUAUUUAAAUUAAUUUUUUAAAUACCAAUUGUUCCCACACACAUAAUGCAUAGCGGGUGAUAAAUAAAAAGCAGAAGAUCCUCAUAGGAGAAAAGGAGCCCGCGUAUAGCACGAUUUCAUUCUCUAGAAUUAAUUAUUUUCUUAAGAAGGUAUUUCACAAUUUCCAAGUUGUCUUUGAAUUAAUCGAGUCUUUCUUAAAUAUCAAUCUACAUAUUGGCUUUCUAAUUGUUGAAUGGGUUUAGUACCCAUGGAUAAUAAGUAAUGCUACAAAGACCUUAGAAGACAAAAAGGAUUUUCACCCUAUAUGAUGUCAUGUGUUCUCAUCGCCCUAAGAACAUAUGUUAGCUUGUCAUACUAUCUAAUGGGCUAGGAUGCAAAAGUCACAAUAUAGCCGUAUGUAGUAUGGCCAUUAAAAAUGCAGAAUAAACAUGGUUUCUUUUUAUUAUUAUUUUUUUUUUACGAAUAAAGUGAUUCAUUUAUUCAAAAGCAUAUUGGAAAUAUAUGACAUGAAUGAUUUAAAAAGUAAAGAAAAAGAAAUUCCUUGAAAUUUUGUAAAGUCGGAGGUGCUGCUCAAAUCGAGGAGUGCGGGUGGUCCCAGCAAAGUGACGUUAAUGUACAAGAAACAAAAGGUAGGAAAAGUAAUAAGAGCAACGUGCAGAAACGACGACGGCUUGGCGUGGAACGAGCAUGGCUUUAAGCAAACACAGAAGCGGCGCAUCUCUCGAUAUUUUGAUGUCGCCUAUUCUUCCUCUUCUUCUUCUUUUUUUUAAACUGAUAAGGCUGCUCCGGAGCCUCUCUUCAUUUUCGUUUUUUUUGUUUGUUUUUUCCUCCUCAUUUUUCCAACCACAUCCUCACCAUAACGCGCCUUCUCUCUUUUGUCCCCUAGCUCUCCCCACUUUCUUUCGCCCGACUCUCUCUUCUUGUCUUGCUUUCUUUUUUGGGUUCCCCGCCCAAACCCUUAAUGAAAGAUUAAUUGCUGUUUAGUAUUUGUUGACGCCUCAAAUUUUAAUUAAGUUUAUUUUAUCUUAUUAAUUAAUUUUUUAUUUUAUUUAUCUUGUCUUUUUUCGAAAUAAAAACAGCAAAGCAAAGCAAAGCAAAAGAAAAAAAAAAGAAAAAAAAAAAAGAGCAGCCUUUGUAUGGGCCCUCGGCCCAUUUCGUCUCAGCCCAGCCCCCCCCACUUCUUCUUCUUCCUCGCGCAGUUGCAGUGCACAAGCAGAGGGCGCGACGCCGGAGCGGAGGGGAGGAGCAACAAUGGCGCACGUGGAGCAGGGGGCGGCUGGCGUCGGAUAAGAACGUGGGAGGGGCAGCUGGCGUCGGAUGGGACGCCGGUUCGGCCGGCGGAGGCCGCUUGGCGCACGGGGACCGGCGGUCGAAGCUCCGUCGACCGGCUGCUCCCUCGCCUAUAAAUAGGCCCCCGUUUCCGUUGUCGAAGGGGCACGCCAGAAGAUCGCAAGCUUGGAAACUUCUUCCUGAGAGACUUCGGAGGAGGUUGAAGGGCGAGCGAGAGAGAACUCGGGUCGCGAGUUCGGCUGACCUCCCACUGAGAGACUUCGGGGGAGGCUGCCGGCGAGCGAGUCCGAGGUGGUCAGAUCCGGCCGGUGGAGGCUCGGAUCUGGCCGGAAGAGAGAGAGGCCUGCGAGCUCCGAGAGAUCCCCUGAGAGACUUCGGGGAACUCAAAGAGCGAGCAACGACCUCCCUCCGAGAGACUUCGGGGGAGGCCGGCGGCGAGCGAACCCGGAUCUGCGAGAACUCGAGAGCGGAGAGAGGAGAGAGAUCGAAGCCGCGAGCAUUCAAGCUUCCCCCGAGAGACUUCAGGGGAGGCUCGACGCUCGCGAGCCCAGAUCAAAGGGAGGGAGCAGAGUUCGGGCACCCUCCGCCGUCGUAGCCGCCGCCGUCGCCACCGUUCGCCGUUCAAGCUGCCGUUCACGGACAGGUAGUGCUACCGCCGCCGCCGCCGUCGCCGUCGCCGUCGCCGUCGCCAUAGCCUCCCCCCCCUCUCCACAGUUCAACCGCCGUCGCCGCCGUCACCGUCGUCCCCGCGGUUGUGCCUCGGCCCUCUCCCCCCUCGGCGCCGCGGAUUCGCAAACCCUAGAUUUCCGGGUCACGAAGCGGAUCCGGGUUUGGAAAGCGGGUAGGGUUUUCGCGAUUUAAGGGGCGGCGGAAACCGGGUCGGGAGUUGGGUCGGACCCGGGUAGGGUUUCGCUAGGAACCCGGGUCGUCGGGCCGGGCCGGGCGUCCCCAAACGCCCGACCACGGCGUCGUUUAAAAAAAAAAAAACGAUGAAAAAUCUGACUCGGGCCCGCGUUUGGGUCGCCGACCCGGGUCGGACCCAACCCGCGGAUCCGACCCGGGUCGGUUUUAUUUUGUUAUUUUAAUAUAAAAUAAUAAAUAUUUUAUUUUCAAAAAAAAAAUCAAAAAAUGUUUUAUUUUCAAAAAAUAUUUAAAAAUGUUUUAAUUUCCAGAAAAUCAAAAAUAUUUAAAAAAUAUUUAAAAAAUGUCGAAAAAUGUUUUAUUUUCUAAAAAAUCGUGAAAAAUCAAAAAUAAUUUAUUUUCCAAAAUAUUUUGAAAAAUAAUAAAAAAUAUUUUAUUUUCCAAAAAAGAAAAUUAAAAAUAUGCCAAAAAUCCAAAAAAAACCAAAAAUUCAUGAAAAAACAAAAAAAAAAAUUCAGAAAAGCCAAAAAGACAUGUGUUUUUCAAAAAAAAAAACCCAAAAAAUCCCUUUUGCGUCCAAAAAUAAAAAAAUGACUCAAAAAAUGUUUUUCCUCCAAAAAAUGCAUGGAAAAUCUCUCAAACAUCCAAAAAAGCCUUAGAAUCCUUAGGGUUUAAACAAAGAUUAAGUACCGAAAGGGCAUUAGUGAUUAACUAAUGUAAUCAAGUCCCCGAUCCUAAUUUCUCUAGUUACGCAGGAGCGAGUAUUUCUCCCGAUACUUCGCUUGGGUUUUUAAUCGACCCACUCCAAAUCGAUUAGUGGCGACUUCAUUUUAAAAAUUGAUUUAUAGGUUAAAAACUCAAACUAUUAAAGUCGUGAAUUGAUGAACUUGGGAGAGUAUGGGCAUAAUUAAAAUUAGCCGAGCCAUUAGCCUUCUUUUUUUGGUUCCCCGCCCAAACCCUUAAUGAAGAUUAAUUGCUGUUUAGUAUUCCAAAGUCCAGCGUUAUCGGGCCCCAUCAUCGACCUAUCAAGUUCGCUAAACUCAGUCAUCAAUGGACUGACUAUUUUUGUUUGAACACGAGCUGCACCAACAUGACAAGAAAAAGGAAAAUAAAAACUUAGGCAAGGGCUCAUUGAUUUCUAACACUUGAUCAUACAAAUUUUUGAAAAGAAAUUUUAAUAUCAUUGCUUUGAGGAUGGACGCACUCUCAACAAGUGAACUCGCGUGAUCAAAUUCAGUAAUACGACAGAAUCAUCUCAAAGAUUUAAGUUUAAUAGUUAUUUUAUACGGCGAUCAUCAUAGGAAUGUGGCAAUUUCGAGCGCCUGCAAUGCGAUGUCUUGAUGUAUCAUAGGAAUGUUAUCUAGAUAUACAAACGGCAAAGGAGCAACAACAUAUCGGCAAUGACUUGGGUAGUAAUGAUGCAUCUAUGAGGCCUAUCCUUAUUCGAUUUUUUUUCUAUUUGUUUUUGUUCAUGUUUUCUUUCUCAAACCACUCUAAUAUGAAUUAAAUAGUAGAUAUCUUAAUAUAAAAUCAACAAUAGAAUUCUCCGUUUCGUUUUGGAACUCAUCGAAUGAGACUUUUUCUCUAAUUUUUUUACUAAUCCAUUUAGAUUACAUUUUAUAUUAUCACUAAAGUUUUAUUGUAAUUUAACUUGUUGUUAUAUCAUCCAUAGAAUAAUCAUAUUAUCGAUAUUGUAGAAAACAGAUAAAUAAAAUCAAACAAAAUCGAAAUGCUCAUUAGACCAUAGAAUAAUCAUAUUAUCGAUAUUGUAGAAAACAGAAAUUUUAAUGAUUUUUAACUACUAACUAAAAUAUGUAAUGUGUUUCUAGCUAGUAUCUCGUUCUGUUUUCUUCUCACCCCCUAGCUCUAUCCGCAAUGAUCGAGCCGUGAUCAUGUGAAUGCUUGACUAAAGCCUCCCUUCAGCCGCGUUUUUUCCUGCUUUUUAUGUCCCUACUUUUUUCAGUAAAUCUUUGCCCAAGAUAUGGUCCAUUAUGAGGGGGUGCUGGUUUUUCUAUGUCGCGUCCGCUUCUGAACCACCUUUUUGAACCAGAAUUCCACGAUUUCUGGCCUCCCUUUCCCUGUUUCUGUUCCUUCGUGCGUUUUCACGCUGCUAAUUUCCUUCAUUCACACCCCGCGGGAAUGCCGUGUGGAAACUGGAAAGUAGCCUCCAGUCGACCAUUUCGGUCAGCCAGAAGGAGGGAGCGGAGAGGACUUUUAUUUGGAGAGCAGGCUGCGUCCAAAACUUCCAUAAGAAUUAUCAUUUAAAUUCACUGCGGAAAAUUUAGGGUUAGAUCGUGUAAGGUUGGUUCAUAAGAAUUCACAAUCAGGAAUGCAAUGGAGAGAGAGAGAGAGAGAGAGAUUUAUGGGAUUAUGAAUGUAUUUUUAUUAGGAGUCAAAUUAUCAGUGAAUUUGAUCGUUAAAUUUCAUUAAAAUGCGAAUGAGACCUUUAAACGGAAAUUUAUGUAUCAACAAUAAUUAAUCUUACAAAUUAGUAAGUAAUUGUUUCUCGUUAAAUCAUCCCUUAGUUGAAUUUUUUUUUCUUUUUAGUCUAAAGAUCUAAAUUGCAUACAAAAUUGGUCUUGUGAAUUCAUUAGUAUAGGUAAUAUUCUAAAUUUGAGUCAAUAUUUAUGCAAAGUAAAUAAGCAGCAGUACUCACGAAGAUUUUCCUAUUGAUUUCUAGAGGCAAAAAAGAGCAAUGCUAUGCAUAAGAGAACUGGAUAUUUAUAUAUAUUAAGAUGGAUAGAAAAUGAUAAGGAAAAUAGUGCGGUAGCUCUCUUAAGAAAAUUUUGUUUUUAAUUUUUCAUUUUCCUUGGAAAGUCUAGAGAAUUUGGCAAUUAAGUAAACCAUAGUUUAACAUUCCAUAAUAAUUUUCCACCUCAUUCGGUGCACUAAUUUUUUUAUAUAUUUACAUAUUUAGCACCAUUUCGGGCAAGACAAAGAAAGAUAAGUAGGCUCAAAAGUUUAUCGGGUGCACGUUCGCAUGAGUUUCCUCGUGGUUAAAGCUGAAAUUGGCUCAAAGGCGAACGCGUGUUCUUGAGUAACACUGUCCCACUCCCUUUGAUGACGAUGACAUCAGAGACAAUUACCCGACACUAUUGAAAAGAGAGAGAGAGAGAGAGAGGGGGGGAAGAGGUCUUAUCGUGGCUUCCAAAAGAGGCCACUUGAAAUCUCUUAAAAAAAGUGAAAGUUAUGCGAGGUGGAGUAUAAAUAGACAAAUUGCUCAUUAUUUUUGUUAAUAGAUUAUUGUCUAGAAAUGAAAAAGAAAAAAAAAAGAUGUAAAUAGUGAAGCAAUGAGGCAGCAAUAAAAUAGGAAACUUGUCAACCCCCAUGCAUUAUAUUAAAUUAAAAUAUUAUUAAGUCCAUUGUCGGUCUAGAAAAUAAUUUGCACAUUCCCGAUUAAGAGUUGACACGUGAAAUAAUUCACUGGCAAAAGCAACUUCAAACACAUAUGUCACUCAUUCACGAUAAAUGUGUAUUGAGGUUUUAACAUUGAUUAUGCUUCCAACAAUAAUCCAUUAAAUUACUAGGUUUUUCGGCUAACAAUUUUUCUAUAUUUAGUUUAAAAUAUUAAAAUAAUAAGACCAAACAGAUAAUAUAUUCGGAUGUUCAAAAUUUUUACCCAUGGGUUAAUUAGGAAUGCCAACUAUUUAAUAAAAUAUUCAAAAUAUUAUUAUUUCAUAGUAUCUAGAGAAUGAAAAUAAAUAAAUAAAAAAAGUCAAAGUCAUGCGAGGGUGAAAUAAAAGCAAUCAAAUCAUUAAAGAGAGAAAAAUCAUUUUUAUUUAUUAUAGUAAUAGGUUAUAGUGUAGAAUGAAAACGAAAAAAAUAUAAAUAAAAGAAAGGGUAAAAGCAUGCGACGACACCUAUCUAAUGUGCCAUUGCUCCAGGAGGCCUCCACGUAGCACCCGAGUUGUCUAUUCCACCGUCCAUCUCGCCGACACGACGGACGGGAAAAAAACCCACGCCGGACCCCCCCCCCCCACCCCCGAAACGGCACAUGUUGGUGUCAGCGGGAGCGUCGGACCGGGCCCCGCCCCGGUUCACGAGGAUCGCCACCGAUGACGUGGACAUGUCGAGAAGGGGGGCAGGAUCAAAGCAACGGACGGCUUGGAGGUGUGGUCGUUCGGCUUGUCGUACGCCUGGCCAUGUGAUCACAUGAAUCGGGCGUACUACGGUCAGGGGGAACAAGGGGAGAGGGUGGGGCCCGUUGGGCCGGGGAAUGUAGUUAGGCCAUGAUGAUGGACGGCUGGAUGGACGCGUGGUCGUUCGGCUUGUCGUACGCUUGGCCAUGCCAUAAGUCGGGGAUUUCUCGGGGUACGGUCAGGGGGAACAAGGGGAGUGUGAAUGUGAAAAUCGAUCCCCAAUGAACACAAUCAACGCCUCCUGACCCAGCAUCUAGGGGGGAGAAGGUUGUCAUUGGUGAUUAGGCCUUGUAAAUUGGUAUUUUCAUGGUUUGAUUUUAAUUUGAUAAAUUUACCUAUACAAAAGUGCUAAAAUAAUCUAAGCGGGGAGAUCAACCAUAGUCCAACAGAGACCAAUAUUAGUUUGACGUGAUAUUGCUAUGGUUGUUACGUUUGUUGUCCGACAAUGAUAUAACGUGCGAUUAUGUUUGUGACUACGGACUUCUGUAUUGAGUUGUGAUUUACGUGCUUUUUCUAGCGGUAAAAUAUAACAUAUUUGUAACUUUUAACAAGGUCGCUAAUUCUGUUAAAAAAAAAACAGGGUCGUUGAUUAGAAUUCGAUACUUUGACCAAGUCCAAGUCUCUCCCUUUCUCUCACACAUAGAAACAUGAUGAAAUGAUAAACGACGGAGACGUUUCUUGCGCGUGUUCUAAGCAAGUGUGCUGUUUUCUCUUAUGGCAGAGUCCCUCUCGAUUCUUCACCAAAACCUGUUCAUUCCCAUUUCCAGCAGCAGUUGAAUGCCCUUGUUCCUCUAGGAAUUGGGUUUCCGCCUUUGAAAGAAGAUGAGAAAGAAGUAGUCGAGAGAAGAGGAGAAGAGAAUUUUCUUUGUAUUAUGUAUAUCAUUCAAUGUACAAUGUCUACUAUGUUUAUAAUACAAAAUGUGUAUAAGAAAAGCAAGUAAAUAUUUUACAAUUUGGAUCCGAUUAGAUCCGAUACUAAAUGAUCGUGAUUGAUCUUGAAUGAUGUUGUGAAUCUUCAUGUGUAUCUUCUAACAAUCCCACUCAAGUUGAUGGCUUGUAAAUAUCCGAGAUGCCUAGCUUGCUUAGAAGAUACGCGUGCUGGCUUUGACACAAGGGUUUAGCGAAGACGUCCGCUGGUUGCUCUUCUGUUCGGAUCCCCAGUGUCUCGAUUAUCCCUUGUUGGAUCUUUUCUCGUGCAAAAUGGCAGUCCACCUCUAUGUGUUUCGUUCUUUCAUGAACUAUUAGGUUUGAGGCAAGUUUGAGGGCCGCAUCAUUAUCCCAAAACAAUUUGGUUGGCCCUUCAACUUGUACCCCAAGAUCUCGAAGAAAUCCACGUAGCCACACUACCUCACAUGUGGUCUUUGCCAUGGCUCGAUAUUCCGCUUUUGCUGAGGAUAAUGAAACAGUCGGUUGCUUCUUUAUCUUCCAUGAAAGUAAAGAAUCCCCUAACUUGAUACAGAAACUUGUUAUGGACCUUCUGCUCAUCGAACAUGUCGCAUAAUCUGCAUCACAAUAUGCAGUCAUCCUCAUAUCACAUUUCUUGGAGAGGAGAAUCCCAAGACCUGGACAUUUCUUCAAAUAUUUUACCACUUUGAGUGUUGCAUUCAUGUGGGACUGCUUUUGAUUGUGCAUGAACGACUAGGAGUUUGCACAGCAUAACUGAUAUCCGGCCUGGUUAUAGUUAAAUAUAUGAGUUUCCUAACAAGUUUCUGAUAAGUCAUUGGAUCCUCAAUGUAGGAUCGGGUUCUUAAGAGAUUCCAGUAUCAUACUCUGCUGUGGUCAAUUUGAUAUUUUGCUUGAUUGGAAUUACAACCGGCUUACAUCCUGACAGUCCGACUUCUGAUAUGAUUUCUAAGGCAAAUUUUCUCUGGUUGAGAGAUAUUCCUUGGUCUUAACUAACUGGACAAGCAGCUUACUGCUCUUUGAAGGGAAGUCUAAACUGGAUGGCUGCAGAGGUACUCUGAUUUUGUGAAUGUUAAUGCUACAUUCCUUUUUUUUAACAUGGUGGAAUGAUGUAGUCUAUCCUGCGGCUCAUACAAUCCUUGAUGGCAUAUGAUUACAGCACAGAUCUCAAUCGUACUGCUAACAUCUGAAGUUUGGGAAGUACUAUUUACAGGAAACCUCCUUGGAGCGAGUAUGAGCGGGNNNNNNNNNNNNNNNNNNNNNNNNNNNNNNNNNNNNNNNNNNNNNNNNNNNNNNNNNNNNNNNNNNNNNNNNNNNNNNNNNNNNNNNNNNNNNNNNNNNNUUUUCUCUGUUUGUCCUUCCAAGUAAUAUGCUUCUAACCAAAUAUGUGUCACCGUUUUCUGUUGGAAGUUCGGGACUGUGCAUAUUACCAUUUGUUAUGUGAUAUGUGUCUUUAUUUUCUAUUUAAGGUUUAAUCAUUAAUGUAGGGUCAAGCUAUAUUUAAGGUGAUGCAAAGUUCUCCACCAAUACCUAAGACGUUAUCUGCUGAGGGAAAGGAUUUCCUGCAGUGCUGCUUUUGAAGAGAGCCUGCCGAGAGGCCUUCAGUUGUUAUGCUACUUGAGCAUGCUUUCUUGCAAAUUUGAAGUGAUGACUGACUUAUUUCGAGUGCCAUACCUUGUUGCAAAAGUGAUGUCGUACUAUAAAGUUCCAGAUUUGCUAAACCAAAAGUAUCAUGAGGUCCAUAGGUGUGAUGAAGUACUUGUCUAUCGACAAAAUUAAAUGCAUGUCUGAGAGGUGGCAUACUUUGAUCUAGGAAAUUUGACAGUAUUGCCUAAUCUAAGCGGAGAUCUAGGCAAUUUGAAAGUCUUGCCUAAUCUAAACAUUUUACUAUGGAGUGCAUUCUUAUCAUAGACAUUUUGUCUAUUACUUUAAUUUCAUCAAAAUUGAAUGGUAUUGAUAUGGCUCCAAGUAAGCAACAAAUCGGCAAAACACAAGCAAGAAACCCAGAAAAGAAAAAGGAGAAAGAAAAUCCAAGUGAUGAUGCAUCAGAAUCCCUGAAAUAAUUUUGGAAGCAAGUACUCCGUCGAUUUGGUUGGGGGAACAUUGGCAGGUUUGGCAAACCUGCAGUAUCUUAGGAUUGGGGAAGUGAAGAGAAGAGUAGCAAAGUUAUGGGCAUCGGAGGCUCUUGAUUCUUCCUUUAAGAAUGUCGAUCUCAACAAAUACAUGAGAUUUCUCCAACUAGAGUGGCUCUCAUCUCCAUCACCAAAUUCCGGAGAGUUAAGAAAAGCCAUUGGGUGUCUGUGGAUGUAAAUGAUGAUGAUUCAAGAUUUGUGACUUCCGAAAGGAGAAUUGACGUUGAUUGUUGCAAAUAGCUCGUGACUUGUGUCUAUAUUUCAUCUUGUGUCUAUGAAAUGCAAAUAGCCCAUGAAUUUUGUUUAAAAUAUCUCACGUCGUUCAUUUACGAGAUUUUAAUGGGCCUAAUAUUUAUUUAAUUUCCCUUCAACUAUUUGUUCAAAUUUUUGGGUUGGACUUCCUCAUGCGUGCGUGAUGGCGUUAUUGCACGAGUAUAUUGCGUUAUCUACUCAUCACCAAUACAUCGCAAGAUUCAUCGUGACAGGAGCUUUUGCUCAUGGGGCUAUGAAAAAGUUAAGUGCUAAAAAAUAUCAACUCUAUAUUUUUGAUGAUAUACUAAACAAUUUGAAAGACUAUGAUUGGCCUUAGUAAGUAAGUCACAUUUUACAUUUUCACGUUAUUUGGCACACAAAAUGUCGAUAUAAUUAGUAUUAAUUCAGGGGCCGUAAUUGUAAUUGGCUCAAAGGUGAGUGCAUCUUCAUGAGUAAUACCGGCAAACUCCUUUUGAGAUUAUCCUUCCUAGGGCAUGUUCUCCUACUUAGAUAACCUGAUAAUUUUCCUCUUUUUUCGAAUAGUAUAAUUUAAUUUCCCUUUAUUAAUUUCCUCUCUCUAGAUUAGUGCAUCUCUCUACUCGUGCGUUCGUUCCUGGUGAAAUAAGGGGAUUAAAUUAAUUUUGUCGGCUAACUGUCAACAUCAAUUAAGCUUUCUCUCUCUCUCUUCAUAAAUACUAAUACACACAUCUCUUACUGUGUAUUUUUAUCAAUAAUUUCUUUUCAUUAUUUAAUAAUUCAAAUAUUUUAUAAACAAAGACUUGAAUUAAAAUUUGUAAAAAUUUGUAAAUACCAAAUGUUCCCACACGCAUAACGUGUGUAUCGGGUGAUAAUAAAAAGAGGAAGAUCCCCAUUGGAGAAAAGAGGUCCAGAUAUAUUAAUACGGUUUCAUUCUCUAGGAUCAAUUAUUUUCUUGGGAAGGUAGUUCGCGAUUUUCGAAUUGUCUUUGAGUUGACCGGGUCUUAAGCGACUUUUUUUUCUUAUGACUCUCGCCUGCAUUUGGACUCUUAUCUCCAUUUUCGUUUUCUUUUGUUCUUUUACCAAACCCUAACCAUAAUGCUCCUUUUCUUUUUUGUCCCUUUGUUCUCGCCCUUUUCUUUCGUACAACUCGCUCUUCUUUUCCAGCUGUUCUUUUUUUCUUUUCUUUUUUUCGGUUCUCUGCCCAAACCCUUAAUGAAGACUAAUUGGUGUACGAUGAUAUUGAGCGCCAUCGUCGACCGAUCAAGUUCGCUAAACUCAAGUCAUCAACGGACUGACUAUCCUUGUUUGAACAGGAGCUUCCACCAGCGUGGCAGGAAAAUGAAAGCAAAAACUCAAGCAAGAACUCAUUGAUUUUCUAAGAUUUGGUCAUAAGUAUCGAUGAAAAGAAACUUUAAUACUGCUGCUCCGAGAAUGGAAGCACUCCCAACAAGAAAACCCAAGUGAUCGAAUUCAAUUCACGGCGGAUGAUGCGAGUUUAACAGUCAUUCUCUACGACAAUCACAAUAGCGAUGCAGUAAUUUUGAACUCCCCAGUGAGAUGUCUCUUGAUGCGGCAGAGGAAUCCGAUCUAUUACUUUUUUAUAUCAUCACUAAAAUUUUGUUACAUAAUUUAAUUUACAAUUGUAUCAUCUACAUGAAAAUUUGAAAUACGAUCUAACUAAACGGAAUAAAUCGAAUCUCACUAAAUCGAAAUGUUAAACAGAAAAUAGAAUGCCCAGAUGAGAAUCUGACUUGACAGUCUAGAAAAAAACUGGAAUUCUUUCUGAUAAAUCUUUAAGUUCUAACUAAAACAUGUACUGUGUUUCUAGCUGAUGUCUACUUCUGUUUUCCUUUCUUGCCGACUAGCUCUAUACGUAAGGACCGGGUCGUGAUGGUGUGAAUGCUUCGCCGGGGAGUCUCGACUAAAAGCAGCCUCCCUCCGACCGGGAUUCUCCUGCUUUUCACCUUUUGCUUUUCACACUAAAUCUUUGCUGAAGAUAUGGUCAUUCAUCGUGAGGGUGUGCUGCAAUUUCUCCGCUGCCGUGUCCUUCUUGACCACGCUCUUCUCCUCAUCAGAGCAAUCUCCACCGAAGCCCACCGACAGUUCCACUUGCGCUCUUCUUUUAUUUCAAGUCUUUUUCAACUUUCUCUGCUUUCGGUUCCGCAUGGCCCGACCAUGUCCCCUCGUCCUUGUCUCGGUGUUCAGUUAGUCGACACGUUUCCACCGUAUCGUGUCUCACGAGAAUUUGCUCUCCAUUUUUGCAGAAUUUCAGCUCUUCCCUUUCUGUUCCUUUUUUGUGUUUUCACACUUCUAUUUCCCUUCCUUCGCACUCGCACGAAUGCCGUGUCGAAAGUGAACUCAAGUUGACCAUUUCGGUUCACAAAAAUUCGCAAUUUUAUUGGAAACGGUCUGUAAUUUUAUAUGCGAAAGAAUGCAAUAGAGAUUGAGAAUGCGAGAUUACAAAUGCUUUUUUCUUAAUAAGGGGUCAAAUUAUCAGUGAAUUUGAUUGCUGAAUUUCAUGAGAAUGCGGAUAGGACCUUUAGGUGAAAAUCAGUGUCAACAAUAAUUUUCCUCAUAAGUUAGUAAGUUGUUAUUUUCUCUUUAAAUCAUCCCUUCAUUGAUUUUUUUUUUCUUUUUGUCUAAAGAUCCAAACUGGAUGCGAAAUUGAUCUCGUAAAUUAAUUAGUGUAUGUAAAAAAAGAAAAGAAAAGAAAAGAAGAAGAUGAUGUUUUUAUAAUAACUAUAAUAAAUUUGCAUGGAGCACUCCUAUUUUAAUCAAGCUUGCUUUGUUUGAUUAAACUAAACCAGGGUCAUCAAGAAAAACAGCUCUAGUGCGAACGUCCCGAUCGGCUGGAUUCAAUGUUGAUUUAUUUAAAGUAAAGCGAGUUUAAUGUCGCCGUCGCGAUCGUGACCAACUUCGAUUGUGCGCCUUUUCUCUUUUGUCCCCUAGCUCUCCCACUUUUCUUAUGCCCAACUCUCUCUUCCUUUGUUGCUUUCUUUUUCGUUCUGCGCAAACCCUUAGUGAAGACUAAUUGGUGUUUAGUUUUCCAAAGCGGGGCAUUAUGGAGCACCAUCAUUGACCCAUCAGGUUCGCUAAGCUCAGUCAUCAAUUAACUAACUAUUCUUGAUUUGAUUGAACAGAAGCUGCACCAACGUGGCAGGAAAAAGAUAAAAUCAGGCGAGAACACAUUAAUUUUCUAAGACUUGGUCAUAAGUAUUGAUGAAAAGAAACUUUAGUACCGCUGCCCUGAAAAUAGAAGCACUCCCAACGAGUGAAUCCGAGUGACAAUUCAAUUAUUUGACGAAAUCAACUCAAUGACGUAAGUUCAAUAGUUACUCUUUACGGUAAUUACGAUAGUCAUGCUACAAUUUUGAGCAUUGCAAUGAGAUGUUUCAUGAUGUAACAAAAGAAGCCAAUUUAGUCGUGCAAAGAGGUGGCAUUACGACCACAACAUCAGCAAUGAUUGGGGCAGCAAUGACACAUCAAUGAGGCCUAAUCUUAGUGGACUUUUUUUUUUCCCUUUUUACGGAUAAAAUAUGAAUUAGAUAAUUGAUCUCUUAAUAAUAAAUAGAUAAUAGGAAAUAUGAUUCUCCAAUUUCUUUUUGAAUUCACCAUAUGGCAUUUUUUUUGCUAUUUUUUUCAUUUACUAAUUCAAUUCUAUUACUUUUUUAUAUAGUCACAUAAGUUUUAUUACAUAAUUUAUUUUACCAUUGUAUCAUUUACAUGGAAAUUCGAAAUACGAUCUAACUAAAUGGAAUAAAUAGAAUCUCGCUAAAUCGAAAUGUUAAACAGAAAAUGGAAUGGCCAGAUUAGAAUCUGACUUGACAUUCUAGAAAAUACAGGAAUUCAUUCUAAUAAUCUUUAACUAGUAACUGAAACAUGUAGUGUGUUUCUAGCUGAUAUCUCGUUCUGUUUUCCUUUCUGUUCCACUAGCUCUACACGCCACGGCCGGGUCGUGACGGUGUGAAUGCUUAGUCGGAGUCUCGACUAAAAGCCUUCCUUCGGCCGGGAUUCUCCUGCUUUUCACACUGGAUCGUUGCUGGAGAUACGGUCAUUCGUCAUGAGGGAGUGCUGCAAUUUCUCCACUACUGUGUCCUUUUCGACCCCAUUAUUGCCCUCAUCAAAGCAAUCCACCGAAGCCCGCCGAAAGUUCCACUUGCGCUCUUCAUUUAUUUUGCGUCUUUUUCGACUUUCUCUGCUUUCGGUUACGCAUGGCUCGACCAUGUCCCCUCGUCCUCAUCUUCGCGUUCAGUUAGUCAACACGUUUCCACCGUAUCGGGUCCCACCAGAAUUUGCUCUCCAUUUUUGCAGAAUUUCAGCUUUCUCUUUCUGUUCCUUCGUGUGUUUUCACACUGCUAUUUCCCUUCCUUCGCACGCGCAGAAAUGCCGUGUUGAAAGUGGCCUCGAGUCGACCAUCUCGGUGAACCGGAAGUAGGGAGCGGGAAGGACCUAGAAUUCCCGUUUAAAUUUACCUCGAAAAUUUCAGGGCUGGGUCGUGUAACAGGUCGGUUCGCAAGAAUUCACAAUGAAAGUUUUCACAAUUUUAAAUGCGAAGGAAUGUAAUAGGGAUCAAGAAUGCGGGAUUACAAAUGUAUUUCUUUUUAUAGGAGAUCAAGGUAUCACUGAAUUUGAUUGCUGAAUCUCAUCAGAAUGUGGAUAAGACCUUUCCGCGAAAAUCUAAAUGUCAACGGUAAUUUUCCUCAAAAGUUAGUAAGUUAUUAUUUCCCUUUAAAUCAUCCCUUCGUUGAAAUUAUUUUCUUUUUAUCUAAAGAUCCAAACUAUAUAUACCAGACUUAUCUCGUAAAUUAAUUAGUGCAUGUAAAAUUCCAAGUUUGAUUUUAGAUUUAUGCGAUGUAAAUAAGCAGCACUACUCCCAAGGUUUUCCUAAUUAAUGUAAUGCAAAUCAUUUCUAGAGGAAUAAAAGAGCAAAUGCUAGACAUAAUAAAAUUGAAUAUUAUAUGCGCGCGCCCGCAUAUUUAUAUAUAAAGAUGGAUGGAGUAUGAAGAGGAAAAUAGUGUGGUGGCCUUCUUAGGUAAGUUUUGAUUUUAAUUUUUGAGAGUUCGGCAAAAAAAGUGAAUCACAUUUUAAUGCUCAACAAUACUUUUCCACCUCAUUUGGUACACUGAUUUUUUAAAAUCUUUAUAUAAUUAGUACUAUUUUGCCCCCCACCCAAAAAAAAAAAAAAAAAAAAAACCCAAUAGUAUCUUGGGAGCACUUUCGUGUGAGUUUCCUCACUGCCGAACGCGUUUUCUUGAGCAGGGCCGUCCACUCCUUUUGAUGACAAGACAACAACAUGGGAAACAAUUACCCUACACUACUCUUGACGCUCCUCUGGAUCGAUGCUUAACGUGUAAGGGCUGCUUGUGAUUCUCCUUGCAAAGGUAUGUUCUCCUUCUUUGAUAACCAAUUUUCCUCUUUUUUUUCGAUAAGUAUGAUAUUAAUUUACUCUGUGUAGAUCUAGUGUAUCUCUCUAUUUGUGCUUUUGUUCCCAGUAAAAUAAGGAGAGAGAUCUCUGUACUUCAGGCGUGCACAACUCAGGCGGUUUGGUUCUGUUAGGAGGAUUCUACGGUUUUGCAACGAUUUCAAAUAUACCUGGUCAGCUAGCUUUUAACAUAACUUAAGAAUCCUUUAUUUUUCUAUAUGCAUUAUUUUUUUAAAUUGAUCGUCUGUUUUUAACUGUUCUAUGCUCUUGCUUGGCAUUGUCUCUGUUUUGUAAGAAUCAAAUAAAGAAUCUCCGACUGAGCAUCCUUAUUUAACUGGAUUACUUCUUGUAGGAUAUUGGUAGCGGCAAUGCCUAGAGAAAAGGAUCCAUUUUGGAAGUACGCGACGUUGCUGAAUGAAAAUAAUAGCAAGUGGAGGUGUAACUUGUGCGGACAGAAUUAUAGUGGACGUGCUACAAGGAUCAAGGCUCACUUGGCUGGAUUGACCCGCUUUGGUAUUAAAGGAUGCGAGAGAGUCGAUGCUAAUGUUAGAGCAGAAGCCAAGGACGCACUUGAGCCUAAAAAAGUGACGGACUCGAGCGACCAAGGUGUAUCUGACGAGAGGAUACCAGGAAAUGUUAAAGCAGCUCCGACCAGCACAACUCAUCCACCAAAUGCGGAGGGAGGAAACAAUUUACAACUUCCACAAGGUAUGCAUUUCCAAAUUACCGCAGAAAAUGGCUGUUUAGUAAAGUGAAUUUUUUUGAUCUAAUCUUAAAUAUGGUUUGAGGUUUGCUUUAGUCUUUUAGGGUCUGCAUGACAAACUUCCCCAGCCCAAGAAUUUCUAUUCUUCUCUUCCCCAGAACCAAAAAAGAAUAGAAACCCGCAUGAUAAUGGCAAGUUAAUUUUUUGUUCCCGGGAACAAAAUGUUAGCCCGGAAAUGGUUUUGGAAUAGAAAUGAGAAGUAAAAAAAAGUUGCUUCUUGUUCCCGGGAACAAGUUUAAGAAAUAAGUUAAUUUUUUUUUCUUUUAUUCUUCUAUUGUUGACUGCCAUUGACCGCUGUUGACCGUUGCCGCCGCCGCCGGUCGCCUCCGCCGGUCGCCGCCGGUCGCCGCCGGACGCCGCUGGUCGCCGGAGGCUGAUCGACCUCNNNNNNNNNNNNNNNNNNNNNNNNNNNNNNNNNNNNNNNNNNNNNNNNNNNNNNNNNNNNNNNNNNNNNNNNNNNNNNNNNNNNNNNNNNNNNNNNNNNNUGUUUUUUACCAAACGCGAUUCAAACGCAUUUCUAUUCUUUUUCUAUUUCUAGAUGUGUAGUUAUCAAACGGGUUUUUUUACAUAGAAAUUGUUCCCCAGAAUAGAAAUAGAAAAGAACUAUUUCUGAAAAGAAAUUGUUCCCCAGCCAAGAAAUGUUCUCAUGCGCACCCUUACUGUCUAAACAUCCAUUUCAAGGCAUGUCAAAGCAAUCAGUUUCCCUGCGCCCUAAAUUUCAAUAUGUUACUGAAGACAGCUAUAUAAAUCCGACUAAUGCUGUUGUAUAUCUCAAUCCAUCACUAGAAAAUGGGCAGGAGAUGAGGGCGGCCAACGUCGCAAACCCCCCAUUCGAUGGUGCAACAAGUUACCAUAGAGCACCUCCCACGCCAAAUUCACCCUUCACUGUUGAAGAUUUUACUUCUUUGAUGGAGUCUCUUGACGCUGAGACAUCAAAUGCACAACAGAAUCCAGGCGCGUUAUUGCUAUCAUCAAACUAUCAGCUCCUUGAUAAUACUUUUCAGAAUGAGUUACAGGGGCCCCUUUUGCCUGGUCCCAUUGCAUCGGAUACUCAACUCAGUAACAUGGCCACAACCAAAACUUCCCAGCAUUCUAGUCAACCACUUCAAAGCGACAGGGAGUGUGGAUACGGCACCGGUCUAGAGCCACCUAUUCCAUCACUACCUUCCACUGGACCUCUUCUUGUCGAGUCAGUUGACCCCCUGCAGAUUCCAGAGGACAUCACAAAUACAAUAGGCCCAUGGACAUCAGAAGGUAUGAAAUUAUCUAUGUAUGUUAAAUGAGUAUCGUUAACUAAGUGCCCAUUCCACUUGUUAAGUAUAUUUGAUAAGAAACUUUAUUUUUAUUUUUAAUGCAUUGAUUAUACAUAAUACAAGAGAGACGGUGCAUUGGGAAUUACAACAUUUCCUUAAUUGGGUUUUUAACAUAAUAACAGUGCAUGGAAUGUGUUGCAAGUGUCACCGGACCAACUGGAUCCGGUAAACUAACUAUAAUCGGCAUUCUCCCAUGUUCCAAUUAACCAUACCCUAUUUUGAUUAAUAACACGCAGGUGAAGGCACAUCAUGUUCAAUGAUGGCUUUAGCGGAAGAAGUACGGUCUCCUUUUAACUUGCCAUGGCAACCACAGUGUUCCAUUCAAUCUCAAAUGCCAAUGAAUUUCCAGCAGAUUCCAGCAGGGGUAUCGUCAUUCCAGUAUAAUCAAUUACCUGCUACAGGUAAUUCACAUUGCUUGCAGGGUAGGAAUCAGCACUCUCAAUUGCAAACUCCAAUGGACAUAGAUGCCUCAAUUGCAUCACGGCAUACAAGUGACUCUCACAUUAUUGAGGCAACAACGGUUGAUUCGCAAGUUCCAGAGGCGGCAACAAAUGCAACAGGCCCAUUGUCAUCACAAGGUGCGUUUGGAUUAAUCUUCAUUGUUACUAUAUGGUUCCACUAGAUUCUUAAAUAUCCCCAAAUUAUUUUAUCGAAAUCUAACAUAUUUUUUUAUAAAUUAGAUAUGAACAGGGGUUCUCCAGUCAUGGACGUACGGAGCAUCUAUGCCAACGAUGAAGAGAUAAGAAACCUGAAAAGAAAAGUGGAAGAACUCGACGACAAAGAAGCUGUCAUAAAGGAGCAGAUGGAGAUAGAGUCUGCUACUUCCUCAGUUCGGAAGAAGCCGAGGAUAUUGGUUGAUAGAUGGCUAAAAGAGACAGAAAGAGCAAGAAAUAAUUUCCAAAUAAUUGGUCAAGCCAAUGCGGAAACUUUGCCACCAAAGGAACAGGUGGAGACAUUGACGAGAGAAGUGGAAGAACUCAUAGGAAAAACGCUUCCACAAACACUACUCAUAGAGGAGAGAGAUGCCAAAGGAGUCAAAUUUUUUGAACGAAAGCUAACAGGUGAAGCGAUUCAUAGGAAUAUUGAGUUGAUUUGGGAUCGUCUGAAGGAGAAUCGUGUAUGCAAAUUGGGUAUUUAUGGAAUGGGUGGUGUUGGGAAGACAACUAUUAUGAUGCACAUACAUAAUAGACUUCUCAAUGAUGCAACCUUCGAUGGUGUGUUUUUUAUCACUGUGUCUCAAGAUUUCAGCAUUAAGAAGCUGCAGAGUGAUAUUUGGAAGGAUCUAAAAUUAGGCGUUAUGGAGGUUGAGGAGGUUGAGGAUGAGAAGAAACGAGCAGCGAUGUUGUCAGAGCAUUUAGAAAGAAAGAAGAAUUGUGUAUUGAUUCUUGAUGAUGUGUGGGAACGUGUUGAUCUUGAAGAGGUGGGAAUCCCUAUUAGAGCACAUGGAUUUAAGUUUGUCUUAACCACUCGAUCCUUUGAUGUGUGCCGCCAGAUGCAAUGUCAAGAAAAGAUCAAAAUCAAGUCUCUAUCUCAAGAAGAAGCCGAGAGUUUGUUUUUGGAGGAGCUUGGACCCAAUAUGCCACUUAAUUUGGAAAUUGAAGCAAUUGUGAAGUCCAUUGUUAAAGAAUGUGCAGGCUUGCCUAUUGGAGUCAUCACGAUGGCAAGAAGCAUGCGAGGAGUGACUGAUGUGUUUGAAUGGAGGGAUUCCCUGGUUAAAUUGGAAGAAUCAAGUAAAGGGCAAACAGAUAUGGAGAAGAAGGUUUUAAUGAAUCUGAAAGUCAGUUAUGAUCGCCUUGGUAAUCCUGAUGUGCAACAAUGCUUCUUAUCUUGUGCACUUUAUCCAGAAGAUAAAUUGAUUGAUAAGUUCAAGUUGGUAGAAUUCUUUAUUGACCAAGGAUUGAUUGGUGGAUUGAAUACGAGGAAAAAACAAUAUGAUAGAGGCUUCACCAUAUUGAACAAACUACAAAAUGUUUGCCUAUUGGAAGAUCAUGGGAGCAAGACGAAGAUGCACGAUUUGAUUAGAGACAUGGCAUUGCACAUCAUGAGUGCAACUUCCAUUGUAAAAGCAGGAAAGUUGUUGGAAAGUAUUCCAUCUGAGGAAUAUUGGACAGAUGCUUUGGAGAAAGUUUCUCUGAUGGGAAACAAAAUAAGUGAAAUUCCAUUGAACAUGUCACCAAAUUGUCCUAAACUAUCAACUUUACUACUGAAUGGAAGCUUGUUAGAGGAUGCAGUCCUCCCUGGUUCUUUCUUCAAACAGUUAUGUGGGCUAAAGGUUCUAAACCUGAGUGGAUGUGAACUAACAGAACUUCCAAAUUCCAUCUCAGAUUUGGUAAACUUAAGGGCACUAUUGCUUAGAGGGUGUCGGGUAUUGUGCCAUAUUCCUUAUUUAGGGAAGCUCACAUCUUUAAGGAAGCUGGACGUUGGUGGCUGUUUUCGGCUUGAAGAAGUGCCCGAGGGUCUGGAAAUGUUGGUGAACUUGAGAUACCUUGAGAUUUGUGUUGAAUUACCUGAAAGAGUACUGGAGGGUUUGCUAAACUUGCAGCAUCUUAAAGUUGAUUUUCUAGAUGGACAAGACAUGACAAAAUUGAGGGCACUGGAGACACUCGAAUGCUCUUUUGAAGAUGCGAAUAAUUUCAACGAGUGUGUGAGGGUUAUUGAACAGAGUAACCCUUGCUGCUAUUAUUAUCUCCGCAUGGUUCAAAAAGAUACUACUUAUGAUGAGGAAGAAAGUUAUAUUGCUCAAUUUGAGAAUUCAGACAGGAAAGUCUACAUUUUGGGGUGGGAGGAUGCUAUUGUGAGUGUCGGAGGGGAAUGCACUGGCAUUUUUAUUUUGAUUCCCCGAGACGUGCAGAAAAUGACAAUGGAUACAUGCAACGGUAUAACAAAUUUGUCUAGCAUGGGUCCGCUUGAAUACCUUGAGGAGCUAAAAAUUAGAGAAUCAGAAAACUUAGGGGUGCUCUAUGGAGGACAAGAUGAAGAAGUAAUUGACAUCCUUACCCCAGCCCUUGCGCCUCUCCUCUUCUCGAGCCUUAGGGUUUUACAUAUAGUCUGUUGUCUGAAACUGAAGUAUCUUUUUGGGCAUGGAUUUAAAUCCAACCUUCCGCAUCUACGAGAGAUUGUAAUAUCGGGAUGUUGGGAAAUGGUGGGGAUAAUAGCAGCAGUUACAUCCCCACCACCACAUCCGCUCCCAUUUUUCCCUAGUCUGGAACAGAUUGAGGUUCUUACCUGUAAUGAAAUGAAGAGAGUGGUGGAAUUCGAGUGGAUACCCCACUUCCCUACUCUGAGAAGUAUCAAAGCAUUACAUUGUGAGAAGAUGGAGGAGAUAAUCGGAGGUCCUCCCCCAUACUCGCCAGUUGAAGAGAUUUCUCUCCAAUCUCUUGAGGUAAAUGACUGCAAUAACAUGAGAAGGCUGUUUUCGCAUGAGUGGCUGCUCCAUCUUCGAAAUCUUCAAAGUAUCCAGGUCGUUGGCUGCAAAGGAAUGGUGGAGAUGAUAAGCGGAGCGGGACAAGGCCAAGAAGAAAGCAUAACGACUCUUUACAGCACCCCUUCAUCCUUCCAGCCUUCUUCAAUUUCUCUCCCAAAGCUGAAGUGCUUGGAGCUACUCAAUCUACCCUGGCUGAAGAGCAUAUGCGAAGUCCCAAUAAGCUGCAAUUCCAUGAAAGAAUUGACAGUGUCCAAAUGCCCAGGACUGAUGAGGAUUCCUUUGCAAUUGCGAUUGUGUGAAAUUGAGGAGCUUCCGCAUAUUUGGGUGGAAGAUGAGGAAAGGUGGAAGACGCUGAUGUGGGAUCAAACCGAUGCUCAGGCUCUUCUUCAACCUUAUCUCCGAAAGGGGAGUCCUUUAUUCCGGAAGGGAUGUUGUUCUCCAAAUGCUAUAGGUUAAUGAGUUUAAUUGAUAAUCAAUUGCUUCACUUCUUAAAAGUCUUUUCUGUCUAUAUAGUCAUGCAGCUCUCAUAGUGGCCUUUUGCAGAACUGUUGGCCAAGGGAAGGGGUCUCCUGCGACUCUGCUCUUGAAGAAAGCCCUGCUGCUCAACCGUGCUUUCCUGCAAACUUGACUCAGGUCGCCAUAUGAAUUUGACUUUUUUUGUGUGGCCAUGCUUUGUCUAUUUUGAAUGUGAUCGCAUGUUUCAUUGACUACUGGAAAUGAGUCGAUCUGAUUGAUAUUUCAGGUUAGUCAAAAAGCAACGGAUCUGAAGAUUUGGGAAGCCAAGGGAUUAGCAAAGUCUGUUUUUUAUCUUGUCUUAUAACUGAAAGGACAAUUUAUUAUUAUGGAUUGAUCUUCUUGGGAUAUUAGCCUUCUAAGAAAAGAGAGAAUUUUGUACAGCACUACCUUUAAUCUGUUUUUGUUUCGAAAGGAUUUCAAAUAUGAUAUUGCUUUAACUUGUCGAUCGAAAAUAUUGUGUCAAAUAUGCUGCUUUGCUCUGUUGGAUCAGAGCAACAUGACCCAUAUUAAACUUGUUUCGACAUUAAACUAGUGGGUAUAGAAUACUUGAUCUGCUUAGUAGUUGUAUCAUAUCUGGAAACGUAGGCCGGGAAGUUUUCUUUUCACCCUUUGUCAUACUUUGAGUUAGAAAUGUAAAAAGAUGAAGAAGAAAGAAUUGCACAGCUAUCACCCCUCUUUAAAUGCCUUGAAGUUGUGGAUAGAUGGAGAAACCUACAGCUUCAGCUCAAGUUACCAAAAAUCAGAGCAGUNNNNNNNNNNNNNNNNNNNNNNNNNNNNNNNNNNNNNNNNNNNNNNNNNNNNNNNNNNNNNNNNNNNNNNNNNNNNNNNNNNNNNNNNNNNNNNNNNNNNNNNNNNNNNNNNNNNNNNNNNNNNNNNNNNNNNNNNNNNNNNNNNNNNNNNNNNNNNNNNNNNNNNNNNNNNNNNNNNNNNNNNNNNNNNNNNNNNNNNNNNNNNNNNNNNNNNNNNNNNNNNNNNNNUGCAUUGAGCAGUUAAAGCAGAUAAUGUUUUUGUAUGCUCUGCGAUCCCAAUCUAUCCUCUCAUCUGAUCUAAAUAUGUUGGGAGGAAACUUUCUUUCAUCAUUUCCAGGUAAUUGAUUGCUUUGUUACUACAGGAAAUUCAGGUACUUAGCCAGCAUAGACAUCCGAACACUCUGCAGUAUUAUGUUAGGGAAAUUGUGAGUCACAUUUCCACAGCAUCUAUGCAUCCCAGCUCAAUGGGCGUUCAUUAUUUGACUCACCAAAAUUUCAACAUAUUCAUGCAUACUCAGGUUGAGGAUUGGCUUUACAUAUAUCUAGAAUAUGCACAUCACGAUUCAAUAGACAAGUAUAUCCAGGAGCGUCUUGGGACCCUAACAGAAUCAGUUGUCAGCACUUUACCCGCUAUAUUGUGGCUGGAUUGGCUUCCCUGCAUGUUAACAACUCCAUACAUGGGUAUCAAGCAUCAUGAGAUGACUUGCAUAUUGGAUUAGGAGAUUGGACCUUCUUAUUUGUACCCACAGACCCGUUAAAACUAUUUGGCUUGUGCAGGGAUUUAAUGGGAGCUAUUUAUUUGUGGAUGCAUCUGGGAUAUUCAAACUUGCUGACUUUGGGAUUGCUAAACAUGUGAGUUUUUACCUCUCCACUGCAAGACUAUUCAGUGCAUGUUGAAAUUCCUUGCUAAUCUGUGGUGCAUUCGAAUGUGAAGUCAGGGACCCAGGGUGACUGCAUACUUCUCGUUAUUGGUUUGUGGCAUUUCAUAUGUGCAUAAAUCUAUCAUAGAUGGAUGAAAUGUUAUUAAGUAAUUUUCUUCACUUUUUUUCCCAUUGUUUCGGGUAAAGUUACCAUGUUGCAUGAACGGGAAAAGAUUUCUUGCUGUAAAUAGAUGCCGAAACCUAAUGAGAGUUCCCUUUCUACUGGUUUCUAAAAAGUUCCUAAGAGCGGUAGUGAAUAGAACGCAAUACCUUUGGCAAAAGGUUGUGGUGUUGUUUUUGCUGCUCCUCUGCAUUCCAAAAUAAGGAUAGAAUUUAGUCACAGUAAGUAAGGGCCUCCUUCCUAACGUGGGGUAAAUAAAAGUGUAUUGAUCCAUAGAAUGGAAUUCUGGACAGUCGCCAAGGUGUUGUUGCUCUCUUUUUGAGUUCUCAAGCAUUUGCUGAGGCCAUGUUGUUGAUUGCUUCAUGGUCCUUUUUCUCAGUAAUGAGCUAACAUGAGUUGAAAGUGGUUGAUUCAGUUAUCAAUAUGAUGUAUCUAUGUCUAUAAAGAUGUUGCUAUUUUAUCCGGUGUUCCAUGAACACACCAAGUAGUAUUCAGCUUUACUAAUGCCGUACCAUUUCUUAGCUAACCGGACAAGCAGCUUGCCGCUCUUUGAAGGGAAGUCUAAACUAGAUGGCUCUAGAGGUACUCUGCUUUUGUUAACGUUAAUGCGGCAUACUCGGAGGUCCUCCCCCAUACUCGCCAGAUGAACAGAUUUCUCUCGAAUCUCUUGAGGUAAGCCUUUGCGAUAACAUGAGAAAGCUGCUUACGUAUGAGUGGCUGCUCCAUCUUCGAAAUCUUCAAAGUAUCGAGGUCGCUGAGUGCAAAGGAAUGGUGGAGUUGAUAAGCAGAGCGGGACAAGGCCAAGAAGGAAGCAUAACGACUUCUGUAAACGACACUCCUUCAUCCUUCCAGCCUUCUUCAAUUUCUCUCCCAAAGCUAGAGUGUUUGAAGCUACGCUAUCUACACCAGCUGAAGAGCAUAUACAAAGCCCCAAUAAGCUGGGAUUUCAUGAAAAGAUUGGACGUGUACGGAUGCCCAGAACUGAAGAGGAUUCCUUUGCAAUUGCCACUGCGUGAAAUUGAGGAGCUUCCGUAUAUUUGGGUGGAAGAUGAGGAAAAGUGAAAGAUGCUGAUGUGGGAUCAUGCUCAGGCUAUUCUUCAACCUUAUCUCUGAAAAGUGCAUCCUUUUUUUUCAAAUGCUAUAGGUUAAUGAGUUUAAUUAAUAUACAAUUGCUUCACUUCUCAAAAAGUCCUUAUAAAGAUGUAGCUUAUCUGUCUAUAUAGUCAUGCAGCUCUAACGGCGGCCU
rnacentral:lncRNA from 1 species